rnacentral:lncRNA from 1 species
UCCACAUGUUAAUAUUGAUCCAGAUACACAAAUGAAUAUUUUCUUUGUUGGGCUUAAUCCUACAUCCAAAAGCCAUGUUAAUGCAUCAGCUGGGGGUUCAUUGUCAAAUAAAUCUGCAAGAGAAGCAUUUGAAUUAUUUGAUACAAUGGCUACAGAAUCUCAACAAUGGGCAGCAGAACAUUCACAGAAAAGGGGCAUUUUUGAGUUAUCAGCAGGUUCUCCUAAUAUGUCUGCACAAAUGGAAAAAAUGGAGAAGAAAAUUGAUGCCAAGUUUGAUAUUAUUCUACAAUAGAUAGCAAAUUCUACACAGCAGCAGCCACCUGCAGCAACAAUUUGCACUAUCUGCAGCAUGGCUACACACAACAUAUUGGGCUGUCCACAUAAAGACUCUUACCCAGAGCUUGUGGAGCAACAUGUUAAUAUGAUGAACAUCUAUCAAAGGCCUAGGAAUGAUGCAUAUGCAACUCAUUACAAUCCAGGAUGGAGGGAUCAUCCUAAUUUCAGAUGGGGUGAUAAUUAGAAUAAUUCAAAACCAUUCCAGCAUGUACAAAAACCUUUUGUGCCAUCAAAACCAUCCUUGGAAGAUCAACUUUCUAAACUGGCAGCUACAACACAAACAUUCAUGGAAGGCAGCAAUCAAAGAAUUCAAAAUGUUGAAACAUCAAUUAAAAGUUUGGAGCAACAAUUUGGGCAGCUAGCUGCACAGAUUUCAGACAGAGAAAAAGGAAAAUUUCCUAGUCAAACAGUGCCUAAUCCAAGAGGACAUGAAGACUGCAAUGUUGUUCGGACUUUACGGUGUGGAAAAAGUUAUGAUAAUCGUGCAAUUUGUAGUGAACAGAAUCUGCCUGCAGUGCCAAUUACUGCAGAAUCUGAAAUGCCAGUAGCAGAACCUGACAAAUCUGCAGAAAAACAGAAUCUACACAGUACAGAAACAGUCCCAAAACAGAUUUCCCAGCGUGUUUAUGACCCUCCACUGCCUUACCCUGAACGUGUAAUUCCUAAAGCAAGAGAUCAGCAACUCAAAGAUUUUAUGCAGACAUUAUCCAAGGUUCAAAUCAACAUUCCAUUGCUGGAUGCAAUCAAGAAAAUACCAUCAUAUGCCAAAUUUCUAAAAGAGGUUUGCAGCAGCAAAAAGAAGCUUGCAGAUUUGGACAAAGUUGUUUUGACAGAACAGUGCAGUGCAGUUUUCCUACAAACUACCACCUAAAAAAAAAGAUCCAGGGAGUUUUAAUAUUUCUUGUACUAUUGGAAAUUCUGAUUUUAAAAGUGCUUUAAUUGAUUUGGGUGCUAGUAUUAAUUUGAUGCAUUUUUCUAUUUUUCAAUGAUUGGGACAAGGAGAUUUAAAGCCUACAUCAAUUAUACUUCAACUAGCUGACCGUUCAAUUACUUAUCCGAGAGGUGUUAUUGAAGAUCUUAUUAUUAAGGUUGACAAUCUUUAUCUCCCGGCGGAUUUUGUGGUUUUAGACAUGGAUGAGGACCUUCAAACACCUAUCAUUUUGGGGAGGCUGUUUAUGGCAACAGCUAGGACUUUAAUUGAUAUGGAAACUGGAACACUAACUUUACGAGUUCAAGACCAGUCUGUGGUAUUUAAUUUGUUUGAGGCAACAAAACGUCCUGCUGAACAGCAAGAUUGUAUGCACAUUGAUGUGUUAGACAGUAUGGUUCAAGAUAAUUUUUAUGCCCGUUCAAAUACAGAUCAGUUGCUGCACGUUUUACAAGGGGAAAUUGGGACAGAUUCUGCAGAUGAAGGUGUUCUUGAGUACAUUCACGCAUUAGACAGUCUGUCCACACAAUUCCCAAGGUUUAGAAAUGUUUACGAGAGCUUAGGGGAGCCAAAACAGCCCCUUAAGCCGUCCAGACAACAGCCACCAAAAUUGGAGCUGAAGCCCUUACCAGAACAUUUAAAAUAUGCACAUUUAUGGGCUGCAGAAACGCUGCCAGUUAUAGUUGCAACUGAUUUAACUCCCACAGAGGAAGAUAAAUUGCUUCGUGUUUUGAGGAAAUAUCAAGAUGCACUAGGAUGGACAAUUGCCGACAUCAAGGGUAUUAGCCCAGCAAUCUGUAUGCACAGAAUUUUAAUGGAAGACGACGUAAAGCCAACAGUUGAUGCUCAACGCCGCCUUAACCCAAUUAUGAAAGAGGUGGUCAGAACAGAGGUUAUGAAAUUACUUAAUACAGGUAUGAUUUAUCCUAUUUCAGACAGUAAAUGGGUGAGUCCUACACAGGUUGUUCCUAAACGUACUGGCAUGACAGUAGUUAAAAAUGACAACAAUGAGCUUAUUCAUAUGCGCUUAACUACAGGCUGGCGUAUGUGUGUGGAUUAUAGGAAGCCAAAUGCAGGUACACGAAAAGACCAUUUUCCUUUACCGUUUACUGACCAAAUGUUAGAAAGAUUGGCUGGCAGGGCUUUUUAUUGUUUCUUGGAUGGCUAUUCUGGGUACAAUCAGAUUCCAAUUGCACCAGAGGAUCAAGAGAAGACAACAUUUACAUGCCCAUUUGGGACAUUUGCCUAUCGGAGGAUGCCAUUUGGAUUAUGCAAUGCACCCGCCACUUUUCAGCGUUGUAUGAUGAGUAUCUUUUCUGGCUUGGUUGAAAGAAUUAUGGAAGUUUUUAUGGAUGAUUUUUUUGUGUUUGGAGAUUCAUUUGAUCAGUGCCUACAUAAUUUGUCAUUAAUUCUUGAGAGAUGUCAAGAAACAAAUUUAGUGCUGAAUUGGGAAAAGUGUCAUUUUAUGGUGAAACAGGGAAUUGUUUUAGGUCAUUCAAUUUCUAGCAAAGGAAUUGAAGUUGACAAAGCUAAAAUUGAUGUGAUUGCAAGGUUGCCACCCCCUACAUCAGUAAAAGGUGUUAGAUCGUUUUUGGGACAUGCAGGAUUUUAUCGUCGGUUCAUCAAGGAUUUCUCCAAGAUCAGCCGACCUUUGUGCAAUUUAUUGGCUAAAGAUGCACCAUUUAAUUUCGAUGAGGCUUGCUUAGAAGCGUUCAACAAGUUGAAAUCACUCCUAACCUCGGCACCCAUCAUUGCUGCACCAGAUUGGGGUUUACCAUUUGAAUUAAUGUGUGAUGCUUCUGAUUAUGCUAUUGGGGCAGUUUUAGGACAACGGAAAGACAAGCUUCCGCAUGUCAUUUAUUAUGCAAGUCGUACACUCAAUGAUGCACAACUUAACUAUGCUACCACAGAGAAAGAAUUGUUGGCAGUUGUGUUUGCCUUAGAGAAGUUUCGGUUUUAUUUGGUUGGGGCUAAGAUAAUUGUUUAUACUGAUCAUGCUGCAUUAAAAUACUUGUUGUCUAAAAAGGAUGCAAAGCCUAGGUUGUUUCGAUGGGUUCUUUUACUCCAAGAAUUUGACUUAGAGAUUAAAGACAAGAAAGGCAGUGAAAAUGUGGUGGCUGACCAUUUAUCCAGAUUAAUUAUUCCAGCAGCUAAGGAGGCAGAGUCUCUACCAUUGAGUGAGAGUUUUCCAGAUGAGCAGCUCUUUGCUGCCCAAAUUAAUACACCCUGAUUUGUUGAUCUUGUUAAUUAUUUGGCUACCGGUGUUGUGCAUCCCGAUUUUUCAUUUCAGCAGAAAAAGAAGUUUUUUUUCUGAUGUCAAGCAUUAUUUCUGGGAUGAACCAUACUUAUAUAAGUAUUGUCCCGACCAGAUUAUUCGUAGGUGCAUUCCUGAGGUUGAACAAGAUAGUGUUUUGCAUUUUGCUCAUCAGUAUGCAUGUGGGGGCCAUUUUGGACAGAAAAGAACAGCAGAGAAAAUUCUGCAAAGUGGGUUGUUUUGGCCUACAUUAUUUAAAGAUGCAAAUAAUUGGUGCAGAGCUUGUGACAGUUGUCAAAGAGUUGGCAACCAAUCCAAGAGUAAUGAGAUGCCCCAGCAAAGUAUUCUAAUUGUUGAGUUAUUUGAUGUUUGGGGUAUUGAUUUCAUGGGACCAUUCCCAUCAUCUCACGGGAAUCAGUACAUUUUAGUUGCUGUGGAAUAUGUUUCUAAAUGGGUCGAGGCCAUUGCAACACCAACUAAUCAAGGAUCAGUGGUACUGAAAUUCCUCCAGGGGGUUAUAUUUCCACGUUUUGGAAUUCCACGUGUGAUUCUUAGUGAUGGGGGGAAGCAUUUUAUUAAUAAACAGUUUGAUGCUUUAUUAGCAAAGUAUGGGAUUACUCAUCGCAUGGCUACACCCUAUCAUCCACAGACAUCUGGUCAAGUGGAAGUUUCAAACAGAGAAUUAAAGCGAAUUUUGGAGAAAACAGUUGGCUCUACACGUAAGGAUUGGAGUUUAAAAUUAAAUGACGCGCUGUGGGCUUACAGGACAACUUUUAAAACCCCAAUUGGGAUGUCACCAUUUAGACUUGUGUAUGGGAAAGCAUGUCAUUUACCUAUGGAACUAGAGCACAAGGCGUUUUGGGCCAUUAAGGAGCUAAAUUUUGCAUAUGAUUCAGCUGGGGAGAAGCGUAAGUUGGAGCUCAAUGAGCUCUAUGAGAUUCGUAAUGAUGCAUAUGAAAGUUCAAAAGUCUACAAAGACAAGACUAAGGCAUUUCAUGACAGUAAAAUCCUUCGCAGGGAAUUUUACACAGGGAAAAAGGUGUUGUUUUUCAAUUCCAGAUUAAAGUUGUUUCCAGGCAAACUUAAGUCACGUUGGACAGGGCCAUAUGUGGUCACUAAAGUUUAUUCGCAUAGGGCUGUGGAGAUAAAAAAUGAGGUCACAGGUCAUGAAUUCAAGGUCAAUGGUCACAGGCUCAAACCAUACUUGGAAUCACCCUAUGACACAGCACGCGAGUCAUUAACUCUGAGGGAUCCAGCGACUUAGCCACCAGAUUUCUGUAACGUCUAGCUACAGACCUUAAAUAAAGCGCUUAUUGGGAGGCAACCCAACUUUCUAACUUUUUCUUUACUUUGUUACGUUUUUCUUUCAUUACUUUCAAUUUCUAGCUGCAUUUAAAUUCCUAGCCUGCAUUUCCUGUUCCUAAAAAAAAAUACAAUAAAUAAGAAAACAAACUCCAUAAAAAAAAACAAACAAAACAUUCUUUGCUUUUACUUGUUUUAUUUUACCGAUAGUAUCUUCUACAUUUUUAUCUCUGAUUUCAACACUUGAUUUUUAUGUAGCCAGCAAACAAGACAAACAAAACUUAAUGCACAGAGAGAUCAUUUUAGACGGAAUCAUGCAUCCAGUAGCAGAUCUGUCAUACACAAGCAGGGAUGUGAUGUUAUACCUCUCUCUUUUGCUAAGCGGCCAUUCUUCAAUGUAAGCUCAUGGUUUUGUCAUCACGUUUCCUUUGCCGAUCUGGGGUAUUUUCCCUGCAAUAGAACAAUCAAGUGUAUGAGUUCCAGUGGAAACAGGUGUAUCAAUUUGGGGGUCAUCAUUGGUGGAGAAAUUUUUUUUUACCUCUACAUGCCUCAGGUCCGCAAUGUCACCUCUGUUGCUGUGUCCUUGUUGCUGUCCCGCAUCCAGCUCAAGCACCUUUGUGUCAGUUAUAUUUUUCCGUUUUUAAGUUAAUAUUCAUAGAUUAUUUUAAACGUUAGAACAAAUGGACAUGGUAAAGAUUAAUCCCACAGUAGAGUCUUUUCUAUUUAUCGUUACUUAGACACCAAUUCACGAAUUAUACUUUGACAAUUGCACAUCACACCAACAGGGUUUAUGGGGAGUGAGAUUGAAACACUUGCUUUUGUCCAAGUGUAUUUUUAUUUUUGUUCUAAAUAAAGUAAAGUUAGUAUGUGUUAUAAAGUAAUAAUUGUCUCACUCGAGGUUCUGCCUAGUAAUCGGGCCAGUCCUGCCUAAUCAGUAGUGAUUCUCGCGUCAAACGGUAGAAUUUUGGCAUGAGGCAGGGUGGUUAGUUGGUUUCGUAGCCUUUUCUGCUCGGGUGGGGUGUUCCACACCUAAUGCCCUAAAGCCCUAGUGGUUUGGGAGUCAUUGACCUAAAGCUCGCUACAUGGGUUGGAUCGAAAGCUUAAGUGAAUCGACAUUGCACGACCACUACUGUUACUUCAAAAAAAAAAAAAAAAAGAGAAAAAAAAAAUCUAUGCGAAGUUAGUGUGUGAAGUAUGAAUAAAGGGAUGAGAGGUAAGAGUUUUGGUCGAGUCUCUUUAACUAUGUUGGUUCACUUUACACCAAAGGAAGUUUGUGAAUUCUUUUCUAAUUGAUUCUAAAUGGCUUAGACUCUGUGGUGGGAUUGGUUGGAACUUUUGAAAAGAUGUUCCGAUUUUUAACAUUUUCUAUGGAUUCCAACUUGAAAGUGAGAAUUUUGUUUUAGCUAAGUUUUAGUUAAGUGUCAAGUUUGUUAGUUUUUAUUUUUGUUUUCUAGUCUUGUUUUGCUUGAGGACAAGCAAAAAGCUAAGUUUGGGGGUAUUUUGAUAAGUGAAUUUUAUAUUAUAUAUUUAACCCUAUUCUUAGUAUAUUUUGGUUAAUAUUUUGGAAGAAUUUUGAUAAUUUGAAUUGUAUUUUCAAUAUAGGACUUUCGACUUCCUCUGGAGCAAAACGUGGUCAAAUGGACGAAUUUUGGAGUAAUUCCAGUUAGAAGACGUUUGUGAGUCACUUAGCUUGGUCGUAUCAAAAUUUGGGAUUUUUUCAUCAAACAGUUAUUUUCUGGCGAUAAAAUAAAGGAGCGAUGCGCGGUGUUGGAAAAUGACGUUUCUGGGCUUAAAUUGCAUUUUUGGAGCCCAAGAUGACCUCGGAUGGUUUCGUGGCCUUCUGGAGAUGUGUUCGGAAGGUCCUUAUCUUUAAAACAAGAUAUCUUGGGCCGGAUUUGGAGGAGAUCUGAGGCUAAAACGUGGCUGGACAAGUACUUGGCAGAUUCUCCUAGUUUAAUUAGGGUUUUAUUUUCUAAGAUAUUUUAUUAUUUUUCUUAGUUUCCUAGUUGGAAUAAAAAACCUAUGUCUUAGGGUUUGUGGGGGCUGAGCAAAUAUAUUGCUUUGGCCGUCUACAAUUUUUCUCUACGCUUAUUAUUAUUCAACUUCAGAGACAAAGAACUUGGCUAGGGUUCUUUGAGAUUUUCUACUUUAAGGUGUUUUCAUCCCUUUUCUUUGUAAUAAUAUUUUCUAUGAUUUCAAUUAUGAAUAUGCAUAACUAAUUCCGUUUGCUAGGGCGAAACCUUGAGCCUUAGCAUGAAUAUGUAAUUUUUAUUUAAUUGCUUAUGAUUGAUUGCAUGCGCACUUUGAAUUAUUGAUCACUGUUUUAAACUAUCUAAUUAUCUUGAUGAUUGGCCACCAUUAGGAUUUAGACAAGUAAUUGGAUGCAAUUCGGUCGGAAUAUCACCGGAGGAUUAAGUAUUGCUUCUUGUGAUUAAUAAUUGUAAUUCCAUCUAAGGCGAAUAUCACAUUCUUAGGGGUUGCAUGGUUCUUCAAAAGGUUUUCAUAAAACUUAAUGAGUCUUGCAUGUUCAUAUUUGAUCUGAAUAUCACUGAUGGAUUGCAUGUUAGAUAUACGUUCUUACUUGAAUAUCACGAGGAGAAUAUAUAUUAGGAAAACCUAACCUUCGAAGUAGCAUCUGUAAAUCGUAAGUAAUUGGUAGAAAUUCAUAGGAUUGCUAGGUGAUGGUGGAACCCUAGUGCCUUUAUAAAUUGGUAUUUAAAACUCUUUUCUUCGAUUAUUUUAGUUUUUGUUUAAAAUUCGUUUUUUAAUAUUACCCAUUCUCAAACUCUCUUUUCUCAAGUUUUAAUUCUAAGUAUUUAAUUAGGAAUUGUUUCUACACAAAUUAUCCAAAUAGUCCUUGAGGAAAACGACCUUGCAUGAGUAUCUAUACUACAAUAUCCUUGUAUUCUUGCAAGUAUUUCAUGUGAUUUUGACCCUAUUUGCAUUGACGUUAAAAAUCCUAUCAUUAGGUGAGCUGAGCAGACGAGAGAGAGCAGAGGCCUUGGGAUUCUCACCUCUCAGCCAUUUCCAUUCCCACUGCGUCUCAAAUGAACCCAGAACUCACAUCUCUUGCAACCUCCAUCGUGUUCUCUCGAGGUACGACUCAAAUAGGUUGGGGACUUGGAAGAUUUGCAAUUACAGCAAAACCUAAACUAACUCUCUUCCUUCGUGAUUCCAAAAAAAAGUAACAAUUGGAUUUAAGUUUUUAUAUUAUUGAAAGGAUGUUGAUUGUUUUCUGCCAGAGAGAUUUCAAGCCUCUUCCGUUGAUUUUCUAGGGAUUGACUUCGAAUUGCUUCCAUUUUGUCAUUGGAAAAUAGGAUAAAGAAGAUGUAGUUUUUUUUUUUAAUUCUUGUCUUACUUUUGUUAUUAAUUAAUAGUUUUUUAAUUUGUUUUUAUCCAUAUAGUGCAAAGUUGGUAACCACGUCAGCACAAAUAUAGACUUAUUUGUCGCGUCAUUAUUUAACGGAAAACUUAACAGAUUGUCUAACGGAUGUAUGAAAUUGAAAUAAAAUAAUAAUUAAUGUAUGAGAUUGAAAUGAUUUAAAGAUGUUGUAUGAGAUUGCAACUGACCCCAAACCUAAGGUGGUAAAAUGUAAUUUACCCUAAAAUAAAAGAAAAAACUACUCUACUCUACUGUUGGUGGUUCGGGUUUUUGCUGCAGUUCAGCCUCACGUUCAGCAUCAAACUUCCACUCUCGGAAAUAGAAUGUGAAUAUGUUGUUGAUGCACUUCAUCAGAUUUAGGUCACUUUUGUCAAUGUCCCAGUUAGAUUGUUAUGCAAAAAUUAUUAAAUGAUAAAUAAAUCUAUUAUAUUAUAUUUAACGAAUAUAAUUAUUAUUUAACUAAUUAAUUAGCAUGUACUUCUAACUCUUGAAUCAAGUGCGUCUUUAUCUCCUCGAGGCCAGCUCUCCAAGACUCCCAAUCUACACCAAAUUUGUGACGCACUAAUACCUCAACAUCGCACCUAAAUCUGGCGUGCAUAUCUGACUUCUCCACUCCAUUUAAUUUUUCAGCAGUGAUUCGGUAGCGACUCCCACUAAAAAUGCAUCGGACCCGUGGCAUAGCUCCCUUCUUUUUCUUGUCUACGAACAAAAUAUAAUUUAAAUAGUCGAGCUAAAUAUUUAAUUUAUACAACACGCAAAAUUUAGUGCGUGUUACCUUUUCCGGAGCCUUCGCCCUCGCUUCUCUUUGACGAACGAGCACCAAAUUCGAUCAUCGUACUUAAAUUCAAACAACAAUUGAAAUAAUAAUCCGAAACAAGUCAAUCAUUUUUUUAAAUGAAUUGUGAAGAAUAAGGACAACGAAACCUUAAUUAUAUAGCAAGUUUGGGGAUCUUGCGAUGACAUCUUCAUCGCGCAUAACCCUACAAUAAAUAUUCUCUAACUAAAAGGUUGACCGUCUAUCAUAAAUGUUUACCCUUGUGCAACGAAGCUUUGUCGCGCACAAUUUUUGUGGGAAAUAUUUGGUCGCGCAUUUAUUUGGCCCCAAAUAUUGUCUUACCUAUGUUUUUCUGCCAAACUUUGUACGACGGGUUUCUUUCUUUGUCGUGCAAUGACUCUUUGCACGACAUCACUGUCCGUCGAGAUAGUUUUUUGGUACUUCAAUUAUAGUGUGGCGAAAUUGAGCAACGGUGUUUUGAUUUCAUCGCGCUAAACACCCUUGUGCUAGACCUGGCAUUCGUGUCUUGUUUUCCGUGUUUGUGUCAUUUUCACGACAUACCCGAUAUCUUAACAAGUCAUGUGGUGUAAGCCCCAUUAAAAUAAACAGGUAAUUUGACCAGACCCGGUACCCGUUAAGGAAAGUAUAUUUUAAAUCAGUAAAUAAUGAAAAUGAAAAACAUAAUUUAAGCCCAAAAAAAUUGAAAACAUAAUACUAAAUUUGUAGAUGUAUAUCGCAUUGUCAGAUAAAUAUUACUUCAAAACAUAAAAAAGAACAUUUGUUUUUAAGUAUUACACACCCCAGGAUAAGAGUUUAAUGAAAAACAUUAGUACGUUACUACAAAAGACCAAAGUUCACCCAAAAAAAAAAAAGACCAAAUGUUCAAGGAUAUGCAAAAUGAUAACAUAAAAACAACAUUAGUCUUUUAAGUAUUACAUACCCCAGAAUAAGAGUCUAAUGAAAAAACAUUAGUACUUUACUACAAAAGACCAAAUGGUCAAGGAUAUGCAAAUGCAAGGAGUUGCGUUUCAAGGUUGAGGAAACCUUGCACGUCUUUGACAAUAAAAACCUUCAAUUUUCAUCAAUCACCAAGGGAAAUGAUAUUGGUUUAUUUUGAACUCCCUUAAAAAUACUAUUCAUGAAAAAUACUAUUCAUGAGGCUUUGUAUGGUUUUAAUAAUUCAAAUGACGAUGUAACCAUCCUUAAAGCGUAAAGGAUGCGAUCACGAGCAUUUGCAUAUUUUUUCACAUUUUUCGCACUUGUAAGUUAAUUAUUAUUUUUUUAAUGUGUUUGGUAUUUUUAUAUUACUUGAUAUUUUUAUUUUUAAUGUGUUUUACGAUUUUUUAAUCUCACUUUUGCCUAUUGUAUACUAUAUUUUUAAAUUUAUAUAGAAUAACAGUACAUUAAUACAUAUUAUGAUAUACAAUAUAUACAUAUAGACUAUGCCUAUUGUAUUUUAUAGUAAGUUUUUUUUAGUAGUUUAAAAAAUUAGAAACAUCAAAAUAAAUUUUUUCUUAACGUGUCGAAACGGGUUACCUACGUCGCGUGUAAACCUAUUAAGGACCCGAUAACGACCCGAUUAGUUAUAGUGUCGACCCAAAACAUGUUAUUUUCAUGUCGUGUUAAAUGGUUGUGUGAGAUAUUGCGAGGUCUAGCUUGCGCGAUGAGUUUGUCUUUGUCACACAAAGUUCGGUCGCGCAAAUAGUUUUUUGUACUAGUGAUUCUAAUGUGCAUUGGAUAAUAUUAUUUAUGUGUUACUUAUCAGCAACAUCAUAUUAAUUUUAGACAUGAUCAACAUAAUAUUAAUCAAGGAGGGUUUUUUAUUUUUUUAUUUUUUUUCCAAGAAUAAAUGGAACUUCAUAUAUAUUCGAUCGGUUGGUCAGACGUAUAUGGCCACAAGCACAAAGUUAUCUAACGUUCAUGAUACGUCGGAUAGUGCUACCCUAAUAACAACAAUUUUGUGUGGACUCAACGAAAAUACUGACAAAAUAGAAAAAGCUUGCAACCAUUGCUUCUGCAGAAAUCGUCGUUUUUCCUUUGGAUUCUUCGAAGUAUGGCUAAUGUUCACCUGCUUUCGAGCUCUUACUACCAAGGACAAAUACAUACAAAAUCCUAGCAUAUAUACCAUAUAGUGACCGAUUCUUUAUAUCAAAUCUUGCAUAUAGAUACGCAGUCUUUGAGAUUUGUUAAUGCUUAAGGACAUGUUUGAUAAUCAUUCCCGCAUUAGUUUUUAAUUCUAACUGUAAGCUAAAAACUUGUUUAGUAAGAAUAAAAACUGAAACUUCAAAUUUGAAAGUUAUUUAUGUGGGUUUUCAAAAUUCAAAAUCAAUUUUGAUAAAACAGUUACAAGUAUUCAAAUUUUGGUUUUCUCUUUCAUUCACGAUGACGAGUUUCUCACCUAUAGUACAUCAUUACCGUGAUUAAUUUAUACGCAUCCAUAUGACAUAUUACCGUAAUACUUCGAAAUCAUCAUAAAAAUAAGGGCAUCAUUAGACUAGGUCAUCCUAAUUGAAGACAAAGGUUCAUCCAUGGAGAUUGUGAAAACCUUGCGUGUAAAUUUAGUUUGACCAUGACUAUCAAAAUUAAUAAGGCGCGACUAGAUGAAAUGAUUGUUGACAAUGCCAAAAAAAAUUACUAACCCCAAAAAAAUAUGUAAAUGAGCAAAAAAUCAAUUAAUCUUUCCAAACUGAAACUAAUAAUAAAAAACCUUUAUGGCCAAGAUAUCAUAUAGAAAGGGACCCUAGCUAGCAACUUAACAAUUAAUUCAUGUUGGAUGAGCUGCAUGCCAAAAGUCAGCCAUGGUAUCCUACCAUUUUUAAUACCUUUGAAGGAAAAGGAGAUGAUGAACAGUUUGGAAGGUUCUAGGAAAGAGGACUAAGCUGACAUUAAAAUUUUGUCCCUACAACCCCGUGUGUUCUGACCCAAUUGUUUUUUGUCAACGGUUUCCUUAUAUCCAUGGAACCAGUCCUCCGGAUUUAAAAAAACCGAAACCGGUUUCUCAAAACUUGCUACUGUACAUGUUUAGUUCUUCAUUUUUUUCCACUAUAUAUCCCUCGGAAACCUUCUCAUUAUUUCCAUCUUCAUUUCUUGUUGUUUAUUCCCACUAUAUUUCCUUGUUCAUUAUCAUUCUCCUUUUUGGAAAAGGACAGAGGUAAUUAUAUAAAAAACGCAACUCUUUUCUUUUCAAUUUUCCAUUUUACUAAUACGCAUCUCAAAUUCUAGAGCGUAUACGUCUUCCUCUCACAAUCACCUGCUUCCAAAUACGCAGUACAGGCGUUUUAACAUGAUUUUCCUUAAUGGUGCUUCUUUAAUUUCCAGGUUAGGUUUUGGAAUAUUUCUCAUGUCUCCAACGAUGGCAGUGUUGACAACUACCGAGAAUGGGGUAAGUGAUCAGUACCAAAAUGGCGUGAAGUGCUUGUAUGAGAAUGGUAUAAACAAACUUCCAAACAAGUACAUACUGCCCACUUUAGAACGACCUAACCGGAGUGAUGACCAGGAACCAAAAGUAUCCAACCAAAAUCUGAAGCUGCCCAUCAUCGAUUUCAAGGAACUGCAAGGUCCCAAUAGACCCCAAGUCAUUAAAUCUCUGGCUAAUGCUUGUGAACAAUAUGGCUUCUUUCAGGUGGGUCUUAUAGUACUAACUCUUAUGUAGGUACUUGGGCUAAUUAAGAAACGAUUACUUUCAGCUAAAAUGAGUUAUAACAUUAAGCGUAUCUAGCACACCAUGAGUUUAGCCAAGUUGGGUAGGGCAAUAUGCUCCAUUCUCUACAUGUACCCAAGUUCAAAGUUUCAUUCCCGAAGUUUAGAUAAAUAUAGUGUAAUUAUCUUAUCGUGGUGCAAAAAAUGUUAAGCAUGUUUAAAGCUUCAAAGUAAUGGGUAAUUGUGGUUUGAUGCAGUUGGUAAACCAUGGCAUUCCAAGUGAUAUUAUAAGCAGUAUGACCGACGUGAGCACUAGGUUUUUUGAGCUCCCUUUUGAGGAGAGAGCCAAGUACAUGUCCUCAGAUAUGCGUGCGCCUGUCCGAUAUGGGACUAGCUUUAACCAGAACAAAGAUAAGGUGUUUUAUUGGAGGGAUUUCUUGAAGCUAAUGUGCCAUCCCUUACCAGAUGUCCUUUCUCACUGGCCUUCGUCACCGGUGGACAUGAGGUGAGAGCUCAAGCUCAGUGUGUUUUUUCUGCAUAGGGAUAUGGCGGAAGUAAUUAACGUGAUCAAUCAUAUAAAUUUUUAGCCUUCGAGACACUCGUAAGUUUCGAUUAUGGUGUAUUUCAUUUAUUAAUUACAUAUUCUUGAUCGCAUCUCUUAAAAAAAGUCUAGACUUGCAUUCCAUUUGCAUUUUUGAGUCCUCGUGCAAAACACGUAUGCCGGAGAUUGGUCAAUUAAGCUACAAAUAGUUUUAUUGGUUGCUUUCAACUCUUCUCUCUUCCUAUGGGUAAGUGUGGACAUAAAGUAUUGAGUAAUAAACCAAUCACCAACUUUCAUGUCUUUUAGUUUUCAAAAUAUAGUCUCUAAAUUAAGUCUCCUUAGCAUUACUCUUAGGUAUAUGGUCAGAUAUAUUAUAAACACCUAGAAUCAGGAGCUGUACUUCCUCGUGAGACCACACAUAUAUAGUAGCUAACCCGUUAUCCUAUUCGAGCAAUUAGUUUAAUACUUAAUAAUUAAGAUUUUAAAAUGACAAGUAGGAAUCAUUUUCUUGUUCUUUUCACAUAUGCAUACAUGUCUUUUUUUAUUAAAAUUAAUUAAAUACUAAUUGGGUUUUACACAAUAGGAAACUGGCGGCUACCUACGCAGAGGAAAACAAAUACUUAUUCCUAAUGCUAAUGGAUGCCAUUUUUGAGAGCUUACGAAUUGUGGGAACCACAGAGAACACGACAGAAGAAGAUGAAAUGUUAAAGGACUUCAAAGAUGGGAGCCAGCUAAUGGUUGUCAAUUGCUACCCGCCAUGCCCCCAACCUGAUCUAACCCUAGGGAUGCCUCCCCACUCGGAUUAUGGGUUUCUCACAAUUCUUCUCCAAGAUGAAGUUGAAGGCCUUCAAAUUAAAAAACAAGAUAAAUGGAUCACCGUCGAACCAAUCCCCAAUUCUUUUGUGGUCAACGUUGGUGAUCACCUUGAGGUGAGUUUUAUUACUUAUAAUUAAGUAGCCACUUAAAAGUUUUUUACUACAUGCAUGAAUCACGUUGCUAAUCAUGUCUUCAACAAUGAAAGAACACGUUUAUGUAAAUGAUUAUAUGUCCUUUUUAUGUAAGAAAUAUGCUCAACAAUGUGAUCAAUAGAUAUAAUCGAAAAUUUUUAUCUUUCUCACUUGAACUGAAUCCACGUAAAGCUAUUAUAUGCAAGGUAAACUUAUUUCGUGAGAGAUGUAAUGUUAUCCAUAAACAUGUAGCACUAAAUUAUUAAAUUUUGUGUUGAAUUAUAUGCUAAUAUACCAUGUCAUUGACUUGGUUUUUCUGGUGUUAGAUAUUUAGCAAUGGAAAAUACAAGAGUGUUCUACAUAGAGUGUUGGUGAAUUCUUUAAAAGGUCGGAUUUCUGUGGCCUCUUUGCAUACUCUACCUUUCACGCGCUUGGUUGGACCGUCACCAAAACUUAUCAACGAAUCAAAUCCAAGGCGGUACAAGGACACUAAUUUUGCCAGCUUUCUGGAGUAUAUUUCAUCUCGUGAGCCUAAAUGGAAGAAUUUCCUCGAGUCUAGGAAGUUAUUGACCUAGUUGAAAGGGCAUGCAUGUUAUGCCUGGAACUUCCAAUGACUGGGAAAAUCUGCUCGUUGACCUUUUGCAGUUUCAGUUAUAAUUAUGUAGCAAUGUUUGGUUGAAAGUUUAAUUUUUUCUCUUUUUUUCUUUUGUUUUUGGGUGGGGUCCAGCAAAGGCUGAUUAUAAUCCAACCCUAGUGAGCACUACGUAGUUUAGUGCAUGACAACUUUCACAAAUGAGUUUAUCAAUUGUAUUGAUGGAUAUAUGAUGAUAUAUGAAGUUUCUACGAAUUAUACAAUUCCUUAGUUCUCGUUGUCACAUGACAUUCAUAGCGGUUGAUUUUUUUUGUUAUUAAAAAAAUUUUGGUGCAUGCAUUUGAGAUUUUACGACCAAAUUUUUACUCAUUUAUAAUGAAAAUAAAAGCUACUUAGUUACAUGAUAAAUAACACCGGAUUUAGCUGGCAUGUGUAAGAGUGUUUUCCUACUACUAUAGGAGUUCUGUAAGAACAGAAACAAGAAGAAUUACCUUUAAAACUUGAUCGAUCAAUUGCUUCACCAUCACGUAAUUGCUUCUUCAAGAAGUACGGGAAGACUUGAAGUGCUUUUCUAAUCACAAAUCUCUUAUGUUCUUCGCUUGGCAAAGCAAGAAUCCAACCAAGCAAGCAAGGCAUUAGUAUAGACUUUUUCUCUUGAAGUUACAAUAAACGGUGAACACACAUCAUUAUUUUUGUUUGUACAAAUUUCCGCGGAGGUUGAAUUGACAGAGAAACCUUGCACGACAAAUCCAAGAGACAAAUGGAGUUAUGACUAACACCGAUGUUGUGUUUGUCAAAGGGCCACUGAUGCCUAAUUCAUGAUAUAAUUCUAGGUUUGUAUUAGUGUGGCUAGAAAGAAAUGAACCUGAAAAAGAAAAAAGACGGAAACUUGGCUAGUUACAGGCAAACAAGGAGUAAACCCUAGCAUCCAUGUACGUUGAACCUUGGAGUAGUGGUACCUUGUCUGGAAACGGCCUUAAAGCAGACGACCUUAAUAUAUUAUCAGUCCGCUUAAUUGAUCCGUCAAAGGUAAAACAGUCAUAUUGAGCUAAUAUUAUACGCGGCAUGCUCUAAUAAGUCGAAAUAUUUAACGUUCCAACAAUUAUAUUCUUGCGUAUGCAUUGGCAAAGUCAAGUUAUAUUAUACGUUGACCAAAGUUUUUAAAUGAAUGUCUGGUCAGCAUUUUUUUAAAACACUUAAUAAGGUAGCGACCUUCUUACAUGCAAAUAAAAAAAAGGGACAAUUUUGAAGUUGCUGAGAAUAUAAAUAUUGAAGAAAUGGAACCUCUAUUGUCUUCAAAUAUAUUACUAGACACGAUGAGUGUAAAUUUUUAAGGCCAGUCGAAUUCCACUUGGCUCUUUUGUUGACCUAUCAUCUUUAUCAAACCUGUUUUUGAUUGAGCAUUGUUCCCAUCAAUUUUAACAUAUUGCUCGUCUUAGAAUUAUGAAAUACUUAGUAAUGAAAAAUGGAAGGAAUGCCACAUAUUUAUACCACAUUGUUAUAUCAUCACAUAUAACAAGUUACAUAUACAAUCGACAUCUAAUGAAAUAAAUUUAUUAAUUGAUGGAGCAUGUACACAUCAUUUAUCAUAUCAGAUGAUACCCACAUAAAAAUAUGAUCUCUCUAACAUUUUUUCUAAUAAUAUAUAGGUGAUUAAAGCAAUGAGCCGGGGUAUCAUAUUGCUAAUCACCUUAGUUGUUAUGACCUGAAGUGCCUUUGUUUAGGACGGAUCUCGUCUAUCUAAUAAGUCGAAUAAUCAAAUUGACACUCUCAAGUAGUUUUGCACAUCUUAAAUUUGUGUAAUUUUGUUUCCCUUGUGAUAUUUAACUUAUUUGGGGUAAUGUUUUCAAUAAAUGAAUCAAGGUUUGAUUUUACUCAUUCAACUGAUUUAUUUUUGGGUCCAUCAUUCAAUAGAAAUUGGAUUGUCUUCUGAACAAGACAAACUCUCAACAAAAUUGAAGCAGCCUGGGUCAAAUUCUGUGGGCUUGAAUUUCAGCGUAUAGAUGGCUUGCACCAAUGUUUCUAGACCGACAUAUUCUUGACUUGGGCAAAAAAUGGGAUUUCUUUGGUCUCUAUCCACAAGGUUGUCGUUGGUUGGAAAUGUAGCAAUCAAAACCAAGUAACCGAGUAACAAUAUUAGGUUAUGAUGAUGUCCCAGCUUCUUCUUUUUAAUAUGCUCCUAGUGGCGGUAAUAAUAUAACCUAUGAACUGGCUACCUUUUCUUUGAUAUAUAGCUAUCUCUCAUAUACUGCCAAGCUGAUGUAGAAGUUAUAUGGCUCAUCCAUAUGGAAGAAAAACCAUUAUUUAUGGCCGUCUCAUAUCCUACCAUGCUGAUGUAGAAAUCAUUUUCUAAUAAAUGAAUUCCGUUGAUACCAAAUUAGGUUGCCUAUUGUGUGGCUUAGUGGAACUCGUCCUCUCCCUAGUGUAAAAAUACGAUGUACUAAAAAAGUAAUAAUAAAAUAAAAAAUAAAUGAAUUAUGUUUUCAACCCAAAAACAAGAAAAAAUUUAAGGUGUUCUAGAGUAUAUGGUACUCUAGAUGUUUUAACAGUUGGAUCUUAAUUUUUAUAUUUUUAAAUGAGGAUCUAACAGUUAAAAACUCAAAGUACGCAAUACCCCAGAACACCCAAGAAAGUUUCCCAAAAUAAGUGUUUUGUGUUAGUACUUGUUGACCCUAAAAACUAUCAAGUAUAUGUGGCUCGCAUGCCGAGUAACUAAGAGCUAACUACAUCCUAGUGAAUGCAAUCGUGUCAACUCACGACCGACCUCGUCAACAAGUUAGAUAGAUGUGAUGGUGUCGAAUGCGCUUCUAACUUCUAAUCUGAGCGAUCAUGGCUAAGGAAGGAAUAUGUCUCCGCCUUGGGUUCUGGAACUUGAAGAUAAGGUUCCUAGUUCACAAUGAAGUUCAAAUAAAGGUUCGGCUUUCAAUGUGCUGAACACUUAAGUAACCUGAGUAACACUUCACUCCACUGAGAAGGCUAAUAAAGUGAUCUCUUUCAAAGACUCCUCACCAGCAUAGACUUCGAUAGAUAACCAGUCGAACUUGAAGUAAUUAUGUUAAUCCAAACUGAAGAUACUUCUUGAUCACCUGAUUCUUUGGUUCUAGUGUUGUUAAUCCAAGCUAAAGAUGUCACUGGUUGUUAAUACAACGCUUUUACUUCAAACUGAAGGUGUGUUGACAGAGAAGUUAGGGUAUUUAGUAAUUUCCAAAAGUAUGAGAAGGGUUCGUAUAGAGCGAGAUUUUGCGUAGGGUGUUUGUGCAUUGAGUUGAAGCUCAUUUCCACGUUGUAGAACCUUUUCUAUUUAUAGGUAUGAAUUACGUGAUGGCCAAGUCUACUGAUGGUUUAAUUCUAAUAAUUUCCAAUUCUUUGGCAUAUUCUCUAAAUAUACUCUGAAUUAUUCUCGGCAGAAACUCUAUAGCUGCCAAGUUUCACGGUCUUCGACUAGGACUUUGAAUUUAGAUUAAUUACGUAAUUGAUUCCUCCUUUAUCUGGAAACCAAUCUUGAUCAUUAAUAUUUAUCUUAUCUAAUAGCUUAAAGAAAAUGAGUUGAGUGCGUGCAAAAUCGGGUCCAUAUAGAACCCUGACAAGCACUAGACAUCAAAUGAUAAGAAAAACCUUAGCAAGCAAUCGUUGCCUUUGGAUUGGGAGUUAGUGGCAGUUUCUCUUGGUAUUUUCCUUCUCUUUCCCUCAAUAUUUCGUCUAUCUUCUGCCAUCUCUAUUCCUUGUUGUGUCACUCUUGUGCUAUUUGUUGAUGAGAGCCUUUGUAGCGAUUGUGGAGAUAUAAAUUAACCACGUCUAAUAGGAAAAGUGCAUAGGACAAUAUGCUCAAUAUUACAGUUUUACCCUUGACGUCGUAAGUAGACCACAAGUUUACUUUAAGGGAAUAAAACAUACUAUGCCCUAAUGUAAUGGGCUUUUAUGCCACUAACAGACCAUGGGCUUUUAGGGCCGCUCAUAGUAAGGGUUAUAGGUUAUCUGGGUCACCUAUAAUACGUUCAGCCAUCGGGCCAUAAUUGAUCUAAUGGUGGCAAUGCAAAGGUCUCUCUGGAGUCUCUUAUUGGGUAUUCGGUUCAUUUGCACUCUUACCAACAUGAUCUUUAGGAUUACUAGUUGGCAGGACUGCAAAGACUAGCCUAAAUCACUAAGGACUACCCUGUAUGCUCUGCAACCUCCCCUUCCAUCUGCCCUGCUAGGGUUUCUCUCUAUAAAUAGCUAGGUCAAACAGAGUAAACAUCACCACUUAUUAGUCAAAACACACUCAAGUUCUAUUUUUCUCUCAACUACUUUUUGGACUUAGGUAUCUCUUUGGCAGACACCCUCACCCCUUUUUUAUGGCCGUCCAUCAAUUAGGCUAACAAUGUUUUUCUCAUGUAGGUGAAAUUUGGUGCUUUCAUUGACUUGUAUCCACAAUUUGGUGUUUUAAUUGGUGCUUUCAUUGAAAGAAAAUUUGAGCUAUACUUAAUGUGUGCUCUAUUUGAGCAAAGUAAGUAAAACCCAAAAUCUUUCUUCAAAUUCCUUUAUUCAUCAUUUAUCAUCUUUAUUCAAAUUGAACAACCAUGGUGGAUACGAAAAGAACGGAAAGCAAUAACAACAACAGUCAAUCCUCACAAUCUGGGAUUGCCAUGGGUUCUCCGAGGCCCCAAAAUGUGAAUUCAAAACUUUCAUCGAUCACAUCCCUCGACGUACCUUUUAUCCAUAGUUAGAGCCAUUUUUGCAACAAAUUCGGAUUAUCAUGACUUUGUCAAGGCCCAGAUUGUCGUCGUGCCACGAUAUCGUGCCACAACCUUGAUCGCGAUGCCACAACAAAAACAGUAACAUCAAUGGUAACCAACAGUGCGGCCCCGCCAAAUUCAACCACUCUAUUCAAACAAUCACCUCCAGCUUGACAACCACCUGUUAAAGUGAUGCCGCUUGUUCAGCAACCAGUUACCGAGCGACACUACCCCAUUCCACGCAGACGAUCUAAUUGAAUAAAUUCUACGACCAGAGCCCGUUGAUUUAGAAACCCUAAUUUCAAUGGCCUUUAGCCUAUCAUUUUAACUUCAAAUUGCUUUACCCGUGGUGCAACAUGCAUUUGUUAGCAAACCUGAGCCAGAGCACACCACUGGGGAUUACCCACUCAAAUGCUUUUUCUUUACCAAUUGCAAACCUAAGGACAACGCUCAGUCAAUAGACGAAGAUCCUCAAUCAACUCAUUCCUCAUCCUAAUCUAGUUCUAGACCUUGAUCUUGGCUUGCCAAAUCAAAGGGAGUAUAAGCAGGGGUCGUAAUUAUGUAGAUAGCUAAGACAAGAAGUCAUAGACGUUACAGUUCACAUCCAUUUGCAGCAUAGCCAGGUGCUUGAAGACUAUCUAGCAGACAGGGAAAGAGCUUGCGAAUCAAGGAGUGAAGUAUCCAAGGGUGUUCAUUCUAGGUUGGGCCCCCAUUCCAAUGUGUCUUCCUGCUUAGGGUCGAGGGCUAGUAUUUAUACUCAACUCGAUCCCCAAGGAAGUUUCUCGUAAUUAAUAAGGCUCACAGAGAAGCAUUCAUUCCUUCCUUGAUUUUAGGGUUGUGCCUAAGGAAUCGGGUUAGCACACCAUCCAAGAGGUGGAGGAGCAUGACUGUUCAUUGGAAGCAAACUCCACCAAUUAUCCUGUCUAGCAGUUGCAAGAAGUCGAGCGUAGACCACCGAGAAAUCACAAACCACCGGAGCCGCAAGUAGGAGGACAACCUAUAUAACUCAAAGUCAUACAAUAGUUGCUCGACAAGCGACACAUAGACUUCAAGCUGAAAGAAAACUUGAAAGACACACUACACAGACAGGUGCCCACCAUGAAUGUUUCUCCAUUCACAAAUGAAAUCGAGCAUGCGCGACCUCCCCAGAGGUUCUCCACAUCAUCCUUCAUGAUGUUUAAGGAGGAGAUUCGAACCUAGACUGACAUCUAAAAUAUUAUGAAGUGUUGAGCCAUUUCACAAGUAGGUGACCACCGUAAAUGUUUCAUCAUUCAUAGAUGAGAAUGAGCAUGCGACCUCUCUAUAGGUUCUCCACAUCAUCCUUCAUAUUUUUUAAGAGAGACACAGGCGAAGCUAUAGAUGGAUAGAAAAGGGUAGCCGCCCCUCCCUUCGUCUUAAAUAAAGCCUAGGAGCGACGAAAUUCAAGCCUAGAAGUGAGAUUCCGCCCUCUGCUUACUGUUGAUGCUCUGUUGCCGAGCUACAAUGGCCUAUUAGCUUUGCAACUUCACAUAGGUAGUUGGCUGGAAAAACAUUAGGUUUGCAAGUUUGCAGCCAAGACGGCCUUUGCAAAAACGCUAAGAAAUUCGAAGAAACUGGAAGAAGACGGCCUUAUCUAACCUAAUUUGGUUUGAUUACAUGCAAUGUCAUUUUUCAAAAAAAAAAUAAAAUUAAGUGAAACGUCCGUAAUCCUUUGAUAACAUCCUAUUUUUUUUAUUUGGUCAUUUGAUAACACAUUCUUUCUUUCUUUUUUCUUAAAUAAUAUCCUAUUAUUUUAAAAAAGAAACUUUUGCAUAUUACGACCAAGUAUUACACUUACAGAUAACAUCCUUUUUUUUAUAACAUCCUAAUUUUUAGAAAAUAAUACUUACCAAGUAUCUUCAACCAACGCCUUCUCUCAUGUCAAAAUUUCAAUGCGAUUCGUAACAUGAAACAUCGUCGUCAACAAUUGUUACUUCCUUUUAUUGAUUAAUUAAGAUCGACAUUAAUAUUGUCUACUAUCUAAAAGGAUUUGGUUGUCUACAUUUUCUUAAAACCAUUUACCCUUCGAAAGUUCACCCUUCAUACCGACAAAUUCUAGCUUCGCCACUGAAGGGAGUUGUACCUAAAACUACAAAGUAUUAUGUCGAUUCACAGGCAAGACGAAUUCUUGAUGUGAAAUGUCUUUGCCAUGAAUUUGUAGGGAGCGUCACAUAAUUGGUUCCACACUUUGGCCCCAUAGUCUAUUGACAAUUUUGAGGAACUCGCUUUCGUCUUCACAAAGGAGUAUUUGUUCUAUCGAGUUAUCAAUAAGCUGUUUGAUCACCUCUUCAAUGUGGUCAAGAAGCAUGGCGAGUCUAUUGGGGAGUACAUUUAGCGCUUUAAGACUAAGAAGGCUAAGAUUAUUACUAAACAAUCACGUGGACAACUUUCAAGAGAUGACUGCCAAUAGACCAUCCUCUCCGUGAAGACAUUACCAUGACCUCAAAUCAGACCUUGGUUGAGGCUUUUGACUUACCAAAGCGUCACGCGCUUUGGGACGAUGAGAAACGGGCAACUAAGGUACUAGAUUCGACCAAGAAGUAGAACUUUCCAAGAAAGUGACGUCUUGCAACAGAUGAUGAUUCUUUAAAGAAUGACUAUCUACAAGCUGGAAGCAAAGAAGAUGUACAAAACUCUUCAUGGACAAGGUAAAGUAGCAGAUGAGGGAUGCAAACGCACCAAAGCUAUGAUGAUGAAGGUCAUCUUGGUCAAUUUGAUCCUAGCAAAGUCCAAGCACCUUGGCUUCACAUCCAAAGAGAAGAAAAAGAAGAUCCACCAAGUUACGACUGUGUUCUAGUCAAGGUUUUAAAAGAAGCUAGGCGCUAAUAGGGCGGCAGGCUAGGGUCUAGCGACUAGGCGGAGCCUAGGCGGGUUCCUAGGUGGAUUUAAGUAAAUCUACUAUAUUUCAUGUAAAUAAGUGUCUAUUUAUACUUAAAAUAUAUGUAAUAUCACCAAGACACACUUAUCAGCACCUAGAUUGCUCACAUGAAAAUAAAUUGUGUUCAUACAUAAGAAGGAAAUGCCGCCAAUAUCCUUCAACUCUCUGUCACCAAGAAACUUGGCAUAGAGAAGCUUAACAAAGAAGUCCAGUCUGCUAUCUAGUUUUAAUGACACCACCUCUACCACUAUUGGCAUGAUUGAGCUCGACGUCUACUCACCCCUUAUCGUCAGCUCCCAGAAGUUUGUAAUCAUUGAUGAACCAUUUGUUAGGGGUUAAAAAAACUUCACUACUUUGGAGAUGUUUAUCUCACAAAGGAGAAUGUACUGCAGCGGAAUUGAUAGACAAGAGAAAGAAAUAACACUCAAAGUAUUACACAUAAUUUUUAUUCUCACAUAAACUUAGUAUAAGAGGAAACACUCAAACACUCGCACACUUCUUCACUCUUUUUCUCACUUCUUGCUCUCUUAGUUGCAUCACAACACACUCACCCAUAUUUAUAGGCAAGCAUAACCGACUCAUCAAGUCGGUGGAAUUGCCCAUGCUGCUUUCUAGUUCUUUCUUCAUAUACAUAAUAUUGCUAGAUUUUUCAGCUACAAUACCGACAUUGUUAAGUCGGGGCCAUGGCUGUCUAUUCCCAACCACAAAUUCAAUACAUAUUUUAGUAUAUUCUAUUUGCAAACAUGCCAACUUGCUGCUAGAACAAUCUAGCAUAUUUUAGUAUGCAUGUAUGAUCAUCGACCAACUUUUUUUUUCUAGAAUUCGCUCGCUUAUUCACAAGUUUUUAGUUUGUGUUGUCUUGUGACGCCGAUUGAAUUUCUCAGUCUGAUAAAGUCUUCUUAUUUGAGUGGCUUGGUGAAUAUGUCCGCGAUUUGGUCUUAAGACUUCACUUAUUCCACUUGCACAUCCUUUCUUGCAAUGCACUCUCUUAUGUAGUGAUAAUGGGUAUCUAUGUGCUUGCUUCUAUCAUGGACCACCGAAUUCUUUGCUAAAGCUAUUGUAGACUUGUUGUCGACAUAAAUCUCAAUUGGUUCUUUUUGUGGCAUGCUUAAUUCUGUCAGCAAGUUUCUUAACCAAAUUGCAUGACAGACGCAUGUUCUAUGUGAAUGCAGUGUCUCCCAUGAAGAAAACAAAUCAAGUAGUGUUUUUUUUAUCGUCGGAAUCUUCUGCCCAAUCACUGUCGCUAUAUCCAACAAGCUUGUAGUUAUUAGAGUUUGAAUAGAACAAGAGAAAGUUAAUAGUACCUUUAAGGUAUUGAAGAAUUCUUUUGGUGGUCUUCAAAUGUGUAGUUGUGGGAUUCUCCAUGUAACGACUGACAAAUCCGACGACAUAGAGAGUACUAGUCUUUUGCAAGUCAAAUAACGCAAACUUCUAACUAGACUUUUGAAAAAAUGUUGGAUCUACACUUUCUCCUUGGUCAUGCUUGGUUAGUUUUACUCCGCACUCUAUUGGAGUGCUUAUGGGCUUGCAGUCAUCCAUUUUGAACUUUUUCAACAUCUCCUUUGUGUAGCUUUCUUGGGAGAUGAAAAUGUUAUCUUCGUUCUGCUUGACUUCAAUGCCUAGGUAGUAUGCCAUCAACCCGAUGUCCGUCAUCUCAAAUUCUUUGGUCAUCACUCUCUUGAACUCUUUAAACAUGCUUGGAUUACUUCCAGUGAAGAUUAGAUCAUCCACAUAUAAGCACACAAUCAAAAUAUCUCUAUCUUUGGCUUUAACAUAGAGAGCAUAUUCAUGAGGGCACUUGGUGAAGUUGUUUUCUUGGAAGUACUUGUCAAUGCAACUGUUCCAUGCUCGUGGCACUUGUUUUAACCCAUAAAGGGCUUUUUUUCAACUUCAAAACUUUGUCUUCAUGCCCUUUGAUUUCAUAGUCUGAUGGUUGCUGAAUGUAGACUUCUUCUUCAAGAACUCCAUUUAGGAAAGCGGACUUCACAUCCAUUUGUUGAAUCUUCCAUUUGUUUUGAGCUGCCAAUGAAAUUAGUAAUCGUACCGUUUCCAAAUGAACAACAGGUGAAAAUACCUUGUCAUAGUCGAUUUGUUUUUAGCUGCCCUUCGCCACUAGUCUUUCCUUGUAUCUUUCGACAUUUCCAUUGGUAUUUUUCUUUGUCUUGUACACCCACUUGACUCGAAUGGCUUUGUGUCCUUUCGGAAGAAUAACGAGUUCCCAUGUAUCAUUUUUCUAGAUGGUUUUGAUUUCUUCAUCCAUUACUUUCCUCCAUUUAGUAUCCUACAUUGCUUCUUGGAAGUCGACUAGUUCACAAUCAGCAAAGAGACAAAAAAAUGUAAGAUUAUCAAGUAUUUCAACUACCUUAUAGAGAUCUUGUAUACUUCUUGUGUGUGGUACUUCUCUUUCAAUUAAACUCCCACUUGAAGAUGCUGAUGUUGGUGAAUUACCAUGAUUAGUUGAUGUUGGUGAAGCAGGUGGAGUAGUGGAUUCUUGUUGAACAUCUCGUGCUUGCUCCAUUAUUGUUUGUUCAUUAUCUUCUUCAAAUUGAGGAAAGAAUUGAAGAUCACCUACAUGCGGGACAAAAUCUCAUUCUCCUUCUUCAUCGAAUUUCACGUCUCGACUGAUCACCGUUUUCCCAUUGUUAGGAUUAUACAGCUUAUAGCCUUUUGAAUUUGUGUCAUAAUCGAUGAAGAUGAACUUCUCACUUUUAUCGUUAAGUUUGGUUCUCCUUUCAUCUGGUACAUGUACAUGGGCUAUACUUCCAAAAACUCUUAGAUGAGAAAUACCUGGUUUUCUUCCACUCCAUGCUUCUUGUGGAGUCUUUCCCCACACACUUCUUGGUGGAGACCAAUUUGAUAGGUAGACAGUACAUGCUACCGCUUCUGCCCACAGCUCCUUAGGCAACCUCUUGCUUUUGAGCAUACUUUCGAGCCAUGUCGAGCAUAGUUCGAUUUUUUUUCUUUCCGCCACACCAUUUUGUUGAGGGGAUCUUGGAACUAUCAAAGGUCAACGAAUUCCAUUGGCUUCACAGAAUUCUUGAAAUUCCUUCGAAGUGAAUUCUCCUCAUCGAUCAGAUCUCAUGGCUUUGAUCUUGCAACCACUCUCUUUUUCUACAGCUGCUUUGAACUUCUUGAAUGCUCCAAAGGCCUCUGAUUUCUGCUUCAAGAAAUAUACCCAGGUUUUCCUUGAAAAAUCAUUAAUGAAGAGAAGGAAAUAAUUAUUUUUAUUGAAAUAGCUUGGUUUUAUUGGACCGCACACAUCGGUGUGAAUAAGCUCGAGUGGCUUCUAGGCUCUUGUGGUUGACUUAUUUGGAAAGCUUUUCCUGAACUGUUUCCCAAGUAAACAUCAUUCGCAAACUUGAUCAGGGUGGCUGAUGCACGGUAAGCCUCUCACCAUCUCCUUCUUAGAUAAUAACUCCAAUCCCCUAAAGUUAAGAUACCCAAAACGAAGAUGCCAAAGCCAGGAUAUGUCUUUGUAACAUAUCUUGAGACACUUUGCAACAUUGUUUUGAAUGUUCAUGAGAAACAUCCUAUUCUUUGACAUUUUCACCUUGGCAAUUAAUCUUCCUUUGUCAUCUCUAAGAAAAAGGCUAUAAUUUUUCAUGUGAAUAUCAUAACCUUUUUCUAGGAGUUGACCCAAACUCAAAAUGUUGCUUUCCAUAUUGGGUACAUAGUAGACAUUUGAAAUUAAUUGGUGACCGCCAUUUUUUAGGGGAAUAAGGAUGUUAUCUUUUCCUUUAACGGGUAUUUUGGAUUCAUCUCCAAAAGAAACAUUGCCACUCACCGAUUCAUUGAGCUUUACGAACAUGCUUUUUCUUCUGCACAUGUGGUUCCUGGCGCUGGUGUCAAGGUACCAUGUAUAGUCUUGGUCUCCAUCAUUGUUCUUGCAUGCUAGUAGCACAAUGCCAUUCUCUUCUUUCUCUUCUUUCACAUAAUUGACCUUCUCAUAAGGUCUAUUGCUUGGAGCUCUACAUUCCCAAGAAUAAUGCCCAAACUUUUGACAAUUGUAGCAUUGAACUUGAGAUUUUUCAUACCUCAAGUUUGACUGUCCUCUUCCACAACAUUUUUUGUUGAGCUUUCUUCUCUUUCAUAGUUGCUAUGGUUGUUGAAGUUCCAACCACAUCCGCGACCUCGACCACAACUUCUUCUGUAUUGUCUUUUCUCAUUGUCGAAGCUUUCUUCUUUCUUUGGCUGAACAUGUGUCUUGAGGAGCUGCUCAUCAUUCCCUUGCCUCUUCUAUGUUUCCCUUCAUAUGCUGGUAGCGAACCAUUAAUUUCUCUAUACUAAUUUCUUCAAUCGUCACGACAAUGUACUCGAACUUGGGGUCCAACGAGCGUAGUAUUUUCUCCAUUAUUCUAACAUCUUCCAACUUUUCACUGUUUCUUUUUAAUUGAUUAGAAACAGCUAAGACUCUUGAGAAAUAAUCAGAGAUUGAUUCAGACCCUUUGAUUUGUAAAGAUUUGAACUCACCUCUUAAUACUUGAAGACGAACCUUUUUCACUUGUUCGGCUCAUUUGUAAGAGGUUUGAAGCUUCCCCCAUGCUUGCUUGGCAGAAAUUGCACUCGAGACCUUCUCAAAGCCAUUGUCAUCUAAUGCUUGGUAAAUGAGGUAGAGAGCCUUCUUGUCUCUCUUUCUUGAAUCUUUCAAACUCUCAUUAUGGGGUUGGGAUAGAGUAGCUUCAUCAUCUGACUCGGUGUAGCCUUUCUCCACGACUUCCCAAAUAUCGUGUGAACCUAAAAGGGCCUUCAUUUUGAUACUCCAAUUAUCGAAGUUGUUGUUGUCGAGCACUAGAACUUGGAAGGCUGCCAUAGUGUUUCUAGCCAUAGCUCUGAAACCACUUUGUUGGGGGUUAAAAAGACUUGACUACUUUGGAGAUGUUUAUUUCACAAAGGAGAAUGUAAUGCAGCGGAAUUGAUAGGUAAGAGAAAGAAAGAACACUCAAAGUAUUAAACAAAAUUUUUAUUCUCACACAAAUUUAGUAUAAGAGAAAACACUCAAACACUCUUACACUUCUUCACUCUUUUUCUCACUUCUUGCUCUCUUAGUUACAUCACCACACACUCACCUAUAUUUAUAGGCAAGCAUAACCGACUCAUCAAGUUGAUGGAAUUGCCCAUGCUGCUUUCUAGUUCUUUCUACAUAUACAUAAUAUUGCUAGAUUUUUCAGCUACAAUACAGACAUUGUUAAGUCGGUGCCAUGGCUGUCUAUUCCCAGCCACAAAUUCAAUACAUAUUUUAGUAUAUUCUAAUUGCAAACAUGCCAAACUUGCUGCUAGAACUAUCUAGCAUAUUUUAGUAUGCACGCAUGAUCACCGACCAACUUUUUUUUCUUUCUAGAAUUCUCUCACUCAUGAGUUUGGUGCUUGUGUUGUCAUGGGCUGGAUCAUAUGUCUUGGUCCAAGACAAGAUUACCAUUCAACACCAUUGCCCCAUAACCUCAUCUUGGCAGGCCUUGGGUGCUAGAUUAAUGCCCAACAUGAAGCAAGUACCAGAAGAUACGAUUUCCCAUCCCCGACAAUGGAGUAGGUAAGACAAGGAUAGAUUAGGCUAUGGCCAAAAAGUGCGCAGUCUAAUGACUCAAGGAGGCAGAGAAGAUGGAUUUCAUCCCAGUAAGCGUAGCAGUGGAUAACAGGAAAACUCUAGACGACUCCAACCAGGAUUAAGAAGAUGGCUUCAAACUUGACUCAUCGACAGAAGAAGAAGGAUGGAAGCCAUAAAAAGGUGUCAUACUUGUCAUGCUUGACCCAUGUCACCCCGAAAGGAAGGUGCAGAUAGGUUCCAGGCUUCGCGAACAAGAGAAAGAUGAGCUCACUGCCUUUCUUCAGCAAAACAAAGACGUGUUCGCAUGGUCCCCUUAAGUCAUGUCAGAGAUCGAUCCAGAUAUUAUCUGGUACAAUCUACACAUAGAUCCAAACUUUAAGCAUGUGGCCCCGGCCAAGAUCACAUCGUUAGCCAAGCUGGUUUUGGACUAGAUUACUUUUUAGGUCAUUAAUCACUGUGUGUUGGAUGCGAUCACCACCUAGUCGACUUCGUUUGCAUGGUUUGCCUUAUAGAAGUUUCUUUCAGAGUAAUGGUGCCACUUUAUGAUGUCAUAACGUCCUUAUGGGCCACCUUGACAUCAUAACUCCAUAACGUCCUUACAGGCCACCUUGGCGUAGAUUCUCUUCACCUUUUCGUUCCUUCUAGGAAAGUGAUGGUAUUCUGGAUCAGUAAAUAAAAUCUUUGAAGGCUUACAUGGCCAAACCAUGGGAGUCUAUGCAAACGAUAUCAUGCUGAAAGGUUAAAUCCCAACAAGUAUAGAUCACAUUAAGAACCUCGCAGAGACAUUUCAACUUCUACAAGCGUACAACAUGACGUUGAAUCCAAACAAGUGCACAUCUGGAGUCUCCUCAGGCAUCUCUUUACAAGAAGUACUAGUCCGUGAUAGUUGAUCGAGUAUUUUGCAAAUGUGCUGAGAGAUUAGUGGAGAAGCUACAACCCAAUGCACUUAAUGGAACUGCUGUAAACAUGGAUGACAGAUUUUCUCAGUUAACUCUUGAUGUUAUAGGCAGAGGUCGCACUUGGUGCGAUGGCAAGUGCCUUCGCCCAUGAGCAGUAGGUCUCGGGUUCGAGACUUGGGAGCAGCCUCUCCAUAAAUGGGGGUAAGGCUAGCCGACAUUCACCUCUCCCAGACCCUGCGUAAAGCGGGAGCCUUGUGCACUGGGUACGACCUUUUUUUUUUUUAACUCUUGAUGUUAUAGGCCUGUCUUUGUUCAACUACAAUUUUGGUUCUAAAUGCUUAUAGCCCGGUUAUUGAUUCUGUUUACACUGCAUUGAAAGAGGCUGAGCUUCACUCUACUGAUAUAUUGCCAUAUUGGAAGGCAAGCACUCUCUGAAGUUUCCUAAUCAUUGCUGCUGUAUUUUUUUUUCCCUUCCAUUUUUGGACUGUGACCACGGUUACGUCUUUUCUUUUUUCAGUUGUUGUAGGUUGAUGUUUUGCAAAAGAUAAUCCCAAGACAAAUAAAACCUGAAAGCGGUUUCAGGGAUCAGGAAUUCUGUUGAAGAACUUAUUGCUAAGUGCAAAGAAAUUGUGGAAGCUGAGAGUGAAAGAAUCAAUGAGGAAGAAUAUAUAAAUAACACUGAUCCAAGCAUCCUUCGUUUUGGCUUGCAAGUAGGGAAGAGUUCAGCAUAUACUAGCGUUCGUGAUGAUAACUGCUCGUAUAUUUUUAGCGUCCACAGUUUCAAUAAACAUUUACCCUUUGACAGAAUUAAGGUUCAUGUUGAAAAAGGGAACACUAUUUUUAUCUUUUAAAAAAAAAAAAGAGCAUUGAUCUUCUUACAUAGUAGCAGUGCUAGCUAUGACAAAUGAGAGUGUAUUAUGCAUAUGCAUAUGUCAAAAAUGCUCAUUGCCUUUCUCUUUUUCUAAUAUGCCUGAUUUGAGUUGUACUAGACUUUAUGCAUAUAAUUGUUUGUUUGAAAAAACUAAAGAUGUUUUUCAUUAACCUAUUCAUUUUCGAAGAAUGAUUAAGACUGUUGAUGAGCUCAAGAGUAAUCCAAGUCUUCUUCUGUCAUUAGUUUUAGCUAUAAAGUAAAGACUGAGAUCGCUAUACUUUUUAGUUCUAAAGUGAAGCCUGAGGACAGAGGAUGCAAUACUUUUCAAGUAUCAAGUGAGGAAUUCCGAGAUGAUCUUUUGUCUAUGUUGGUUGCUAAACAUGAGACGACUGGUUUAUGAUGAAAAGUUAUCUAAGUGAUUAUAGUGGUUUCCCUAUUUAUAGAAUGUGAGAUACCUUUUUGGAAAACAUGUGACUAUUCAUGAAGAGUAAAAAAUUGCAACACUUCAUUUAAGUAAGCAUAUCUUUCUACCAAAAGGCUUCACUUUUAAUUUCCAUUCAGUUAAUAAAUUUAAUAUAAUAAUAAUAUUAUUAAAUUUUCCAACAAUCCCCCACAUGAAAGGAAAUUGACUCAAUACCAUGCAAACGACAAUGCAGACAUUAGAAAGAGAGGAAAAGUACUGCAUCGGGAUAGGUGGCUUUUGGCUUUGAACCUUCUAUAGUGAAUUAUUAUCGGAUUUACUUGGCUAAUCAGUGACCGCGAUGUCUUGAACUGCUCAGCCGUUUGUGUAAACCAAGACAAUAGUAAUCACACAAUACACUUUUAGACACCUCGUGGUUGCUCGGUUGUGUUCAUUUUGGCCCUAAACAAUUCUUGGUUUCUCAUGAGUGCUUUUAGAGAACUAAACCCUUCAAAAAAUUCUCACAUAAAUGGCCCCAUUCCUCACUCAAGAUAGGUGACUUCCCAUUAAGAGUAUCCUGCAAUACCCCACUUGUUAUUUCCAUGUAUAGGAAUCAUUAAAAACAAAGCUUAUCCUAAAUACGCUGCAGAUAGCACUGUUUCAUCAUAGGACAUGGGUAGGAGAUUAUCUCCGCAAUGCUCCCAUUGAAUCAUCCACAAUUCAGUUGUCCCUUUAAACAUAGAUCUUGGGAUCUCCAGUCAGCUAGGUUGGGUUGCCAUUAAGGCGAUUCUUAAAGAUGUAGAUGUUUAACCCAUUCCCCUCAAUGAUACAACUUACUCUCUAGUCAAACCUUUAAAAAUUGGUACCACUAGGUUGACUACUCAGUAUAUGGCCAUCAUAAACUUUAUAUCCAUGCAUGGAAAUUAUUUCCUUUGAGAGGAGUUGUUUUCCAAUGUUAAGUCUUUCAAAACAUAUGUUAGGACUUACAAAGUAAUUUGCUAAUACUCGGGUACAUUCCCCUACAUUUAAGGUAUUUAUAAGAAGGUCUCCAACCUUGCCAUACCUUAAACAAUUACUCAUUACAAGAGAUGACAUUUCGAUUUUCUCAUUCAAUUAGCAAAUUAUAUUUCCAUUCUUCUUAAAUAAAUCUCAUAUCUCAAAAUUAGAUGAGCUACCCCCACAAUUCUUUGAUAAUUGUGGUCAUAAUUUGACGUCAUUGUUAAAUCAAUCACGUUUUUAUUUUAUGAAGUAGGAAACAACUAAGAUAGACCUUAUAUAUCUAUCUUAGCUUUCAUCAUUUCCGCACUAUGACUAACGUACAUGACACAAUGGCCAUGUCCAUUGAUAUGCUUACUUAAUAAGUAUCAUCAUGCAUGUCUAAUACAAUUUUGUGAAAUGCCCCGUACAUUUUUAGUGUCGUCUAUUCCUUUGUGAAAGAUCCCCACAAUUUCAAGAUUAUUUCUUUAUAUUGAUAUCAUUUUGAAUAACACUCAAUAAUAUUCAUUUUCUCCAUGAUUGACGGGGCAAAUGCAGAACUCUCCUCAGCAAAGAAGCAAAACACCUAAAUUUAGAAAUAUGCUUCUCAAGUCUUCUAGAAGGUGAUGCAUCAUAUAUGACUAUGGUCAUCAAUAUAUGGUAUCAUUCUGGGCCUAUUGAAAUUUAUUCAUCUCUUUGAAAAAAUCAGAUAAAUAAUUGUUAUCACUGUAUGAUAAUAUACAUCGAGUCAAUGAUCGGUAUGUAGAAGUUUAAAUACCAGCCCAUGAACACAUGUAUAUUGAAGAAUGGUAUAAAGACAUGUCUAGUGAAAUAUCUCUUCACCAUAAGUUUUUCCAUAACGAGAAUAUGCUCCAUUCAUGUUUUCCAGAAAUUUUCCAAGAGACCCAUCUUCCUAAUUGAAAGAUUGUAAUCGCUCACGCAUAUAGGAGCACAAACAUGCAUGCCACAAAAACUAAUCUCACAUAAAACAAACACAAUAAUAAUGCAAGUCAAGUGUAAAAAAUAUCGCAUCUCAAAAUGGUAAUAAAAGUACCAUUCCACAAAAUGCCCAGAAACUUCCAACCUAUUCAUGAGAACUCACUGCAUAUUAAUUUCUGCAGUUCAAGAUGCACCACCAAUUACAUCUCCGCUUUUAUAGUAAAGAAAAGAUAUCUACAAUUGCCAUGUAGUGGCUUUUUGCAUAUACAACAAAGCUAACUGAUCUGGGUCUCGCCCACUUGGCUUCAAGGCAUGGGACAUACAUGAAGGUAGGAAAUUGAACAAAGACAUGUCCAAUUUAAUAUGAACAUAUAGAUUUGAGUUCAACAAACAAAUAUAGCAAACACAAGAAUUAACACAUAAUUGUCAUGUUCUUAGAAAUAAUAUGUGAUCGGAUUUUUUUAUUUUUUUUAUUUUUUUUUGUCUACAGCCGAAUCAUGCAUCAAUUAAUGUAGCAACCAAACCAAAUAAAUUUGACAUGACUAUAUGGAAACAAAAUCAUAAUUUUAUGCAAAGAUUAGAUACCAUACCAUUCUCUCACAAAGUUAAACAAGAAGAAAUUAUGCCUCUAGGACCAAGCAUUAUUAUAUCGCUGCAUUUAAUUCUCAAACAAACAUAGCAAUCAAACCAUAAACUUGUCUUAAGAUUGUUGGAAAAAAUUAGGGUCUAAUUGCUAUAUUAAAUUACAUAAAAAUUUAAGAAAUAAUUCAUGCACUUAUAUAUCAAAGUAAUACAUGCACAUGAGUAACCAAUGUUAAAUGAACAUGAAAUAAUGGAUUAGAAAAACCUAGAAAAUACGGUCGAGGCAAGUGUUGGACACUUUUUCCUUAAGACAAAUUUACGCCCCACUAAGGUGCUCGUGGUUGAUCAGCGCAUGUCUCCCAAAAUACAACGACCACGUCCUUAUAAUAGUAGCACUCCAAAUCACAAGGCUCCAUGAACCACAAUUGUGUUGAAAACUCUCUCACAUGGUCUCAAUGAGACUCUAAUAUUUAACACACUAUAUGUAUGUAUGAUGAAAAGUUAUCUAAGUGAUUAUAGGGGCUUCCCUAUUAAUAGAAUGUGAGAUAUCUUUUUGGAAAGUAUGUGACUAUUCAUGAAGAGUCAAAAGUUGCAACACUUCAUUUAAGUAGGCAUAUUUUUCUACCAAAAGGCUUCACUUUUAAUUUCCAUUCAAUUAAUAAAUUUAAUGUAAUAUUAUUAUUAUUAAAUUUUCCAACAUACAUAUCCAAGAUCAAUAAAACUGAGUUGUGUAAUAUUUUCUGACCGCAUUAUUGAUCACUUCUCUCAAAUGAAUGAGAUCGAUGCGAGACUCAGUUAUAUAAGAUCUAUAUGUUAGUACAUAUAACGUCACUAGUACAUAAGGUCUCCUAACAGUUUGUUUGUUUGUUGCAGGGUUUGUACAUGAAACUGAGCCAACGACACGCAAAGUCGGCAUUAGCUAUAUAAACAAUCACGUAAGUGAUGGGAGAAUCCCAGUGUGCUUUAGAAGUGUCAAGAGUCUGUACUAGUAUUUUACCGGAUUUAUGUUUGGAACGGACUAAUGAUGUUUAUAAUUUUUAGUGUGAUUAUCGCACUUUAAAGAAGAUAAUAGGUAAUGCUAUGGGUACCAAAUCAAGUAUCAAAACUUUGAAUUCUACGGUACGAAAAUAUAUCUCCUCAACAUUAUUCGCUCCUAAUUAACAGUCCUUUUGUCAUUCAUCAUCUUUCUCGGGACGGCCAUAUGGGAUUCGAUGGCUUUUUAAGCUUUGUUUCUACCGCCACUGUGCCAUGCAAAAACAUCAACAUUUAACAUCAUGGCACAGCUUUAUUGUAUUUUGUUCGCUUAUUAAUUAAUUACUAUAUGUGAAUUUUUAUUUCAACCAAGCCAAUUCUCUAUAGCAGAACAGAGAACAAAUAAAUGAUAUACAGUAUAAUCUCUAUGUCAUAAUGUUGGAAUUAAACUAAUUUUAGUAUAAGUAGGUUAUUAAUUACGUAAUAGAGGUGUAGUUACCGAAAUUGUUUUGAACAUGUUGUCCUUAAUAAAAGUUGUAUAGAUAAAAAUAAGUACUUUAGUAGCGGAACAUGUCAACUUUCAAGAUGUACCCGUUGGAAGAGAGACACCUAACUAAUGCAUACAUGUAUAGUAAUGCUCGUUUUAUGCUAAAAAGGUAUAAACAUGCUUGAUGAGCUAUGUCAAAAGUUCCCUGCCGGUUAGUUGAAAAACUUCCAGUCUUUAGAACUUUUGUGCGACUCCUUUUCUAGCAUGGCAAUGACAUCUUCUUAAGUGACAAGGGAUGGUCCCUUCUCAGAACCCUUCCCGGCAGCAGCAACUGACUUUUCUUGGGUGAUCUUCUCCCGAUGUGCGCAAUCCUUCUCACUCAUUUUCUCGCAAUUGGCUUCAGGAUUGAGUUUUUCAACUCCUUCAAAGAUGCAGCAAUUUCUUUUUGGGCUUCUCCCAAAGCAUGAAUGGUAGCGAUGAUGUAUGGCGUGGCGUACUCUUCCAAUUUUUCUUGACUUUCAUGGUGUUGUUCCUCACACUGGGACUUGCUCAGCCAAGAAUCUGUUCGUGGCAGAAAUUUCCGUGGGGGAUGCUUCCUGGCCGACGAGCACACAGCUCCCCGAGAGGUUGGCGCCGGUUGAUGCUUUCUAUCGGGCUCCUGCUUUACUGGCGGGCUUGUCGGGCAAAGCCUGUCAGACAAGGCUUGUCGGGCAAGGCUGAAAGAGAAGGACAGAGUUAACUUUGAAAGGUGCCUUUGUGAGGCCUUGGGUGUAGGCCUUGAGGCUCACAAUCAAAAUUAACGUUUAAGUGCUCAGGCGUGCCACUGCCAUCUUCAGCAUGGCAGAUGUAGAACGGAUGUUUGAAUUUUAAUUAUAUAUAUUCGAGAGACUAUGUUAGUUAUUGACAGGUGCCUUUGUGGGGCCUUAGGUGUAGGCCUUGAGGCUUCCCAUAAAUAACUAACUUAGUACUCGAACACAUAAGGUUCCUUUUGUUGGUUAUAUGAGCCUUAUAACCAUCAUACUUCUGAUUACCUGAGCCCAACGAGCAUAAUGAAUCCAAAUGAGUGCUUUUGUGGGGCCUUGAAUAGGCCUUGAGGCUUCCCAUCAGAACUCCUUCUAUACUCAAUGUUCUCGUCCGAGAAAUAGGAUGAAUCCAAAUAGGUGCCUUUGUGGGGCCUUGAAUAGGCCUUGAGGCUUCCCAUCAGAAUUCAUCCCAUACUCGAAUGUUAUAUGGUAAUCAUAAUAUAACAGAAAUAAAACUAAGUGACAAGUCGAUUACUUGCGCCUCAAGUAACUUCGGACUUCUUGUUAUCAAAGCUUGUCGUGGAUGGGUUAAGUCCACAUCAGGUUAUUUUCUAUACCUUGAGGCCAAGGACUUUUAGAGUAAUCAAAUCUUAUAUGUUUGAGGGCUUAGAAAUUAGAUCUGGCUUGAACUAUGAAGACAUAUUCAAAUCGGAUUCAAGCACUGGGAAAGUCUUUUAAUAGCCAUAUUACUAGAAAUAACUUGGAUACAACUUGUAGUAUACAACAUAUUGCUAGGCCAAUGAAUGGAAAGACAAAAACAAAGAGGGUCGGGCAAGGUUUAACCUUGUCGGGCAAGGCUGAUCGUCUUGCAACUUCCUAUCUUUGUGGUUUAUCAGGAGGUUUGAAAGCUUAGAAAAUGGGUUGGGAGGUGAGUUUACAGAAAGAAAUCGAUACUACAAUAAGAGUUGAACAGGGUAGCAGAGCUAUUACAAAGGGUUUAUCCCGAAAGGGAUGAAGGCUUGGGCUGACUACAGCUUCGUUUUGAAGGCAAAUCUAGCUUUUAGCAGAGUUUGUGCUUUUGUUUAUUUGUUUGAGUGUCCUUGACUAUGAUUUCUCUUUCUCCUUUUAUAGACACUUUGGCUUGGCCACUUGUAGCAAUAAUCUUGCCCGAGUGCAGUUUUGAAGGAUAGUGACUCAUCAGCUAUUUACUUGUACUGCCAUCAUAAAGUACUUUUGGGCUGAUUAGCUAGCUGGUCUAUACCACUUGGCCCUUAGGUAGGUGAGCAAGUGGUGCAAAUGAUCUGCACCUAGUCGGGAAAGGCCAUUUUCUGCUUUCUGGGCUUGGGCUGAGCUUCGGGCUUUUCCUUCUCUUUUUGGGCCAACUCACUUCUAAGCCCAAAGUUUAAGUUUUAACCCAAACAGUGCCUCUUUCAAUCAAUAUUCAGACUGGAAUUCUAGGCACCAAUAUUGAUUGAAUAGGUCUCUAUUAAUACCCACGUCUCUCCUUCUCGGUAUUUGCACACUUUUCAAAAGCAAUCACCGUCUUUCUUCGGUUAAUCCCAUCACUUCCGAAUCUCCUGUAUUCUUCUUAUCUCUGUAAUAAAAAACUUCCUAACCCUCCAGUCGUUUCUUCCUUGUCGUUCUAUUUCCAAACUUCAUCAAAUGGCUUUAAGACCCAGCCAAAUCCAACUAUGCCGUUUACUCAAUGACCUGCAUCGCCCUGGAACAGGUUUGUAUUCUGAGCUUUUCUUUGAAGUACAUGGAGUACAAUCGUUGGGUCCCGCAUGGAUUUCUCGAGUCCCUGCAGUGAUAGAGGAUAAUAUGCCCAAGGAUAACUGGUUUUUUCCAAAUCCCUAUUUGGCUAAGUCGGGCAUUUCCUCAUCUAAGUGGUCGUCAUAUCGCCGAGGCUUUCCAUUGAUGAAUGAUUCGGCUUGGACCCAAUGGAUUGACGAACUAGAGCCAACUUUUAAGAAGAAAUGGAUGAAUAAUGGCAUUUACGAGUUAAUAAUGCUUUCAAAAACCACCAUUAUUCCCAAGCCCGAACUGCUUGCUUCCUCUCUUCUUUUCUAAAAUUCGGGCACAAAUACUUUUGACUUUCGCAUGGGUCCCAUGUCUUCGACUAUUCUAGAUAUGGCUCCAGUCUUCGGGCUAAGGCCGUCGGGCAGGAUAGUAGACGUUACUCAAGAUUGGGCUCUCCCCUCAAUUGCUGAAAGCUCAGGUUCAUCCACAUCCUUCCUCUUCUUGGAAUAUAACUCUGCAACCUUCAAGAGUUACGGGACCUCGUUCAAGGGAUUCAUCCCUUUUGUAAAAGAAAAUUUUGGAGCAGGUUCUUCCCGUGCUGAUAGAGAUCAAGAGCACAUGUAUUUCCUUUUAUACUGGCUUAACAAACACAUCUUCCCCAAUAAAUCUAAAGGGGUGAAGGUUGAAUGGAUCCCCUUGGUGGAAGCUCUUCAUAACUUCGAUGAUGUUGCAAUAGGUCCAUUCUUUCUUUCUCAUCUUUACCAUCUUCUCUUCGAAAUGACUCAGGGCGAGCCAUUUGAGACUAACCUGAAUGGACCCAUAUGGAUGAUACAAACAUGUCUCCAAUGGUACUUUCCAGAGUUUUGGGCUGCCAAUUUAGAGUUCCCAGAAGGUGUGGCCCAUGCCCGAAUCCUAGCUGAAGUUGCUCCUACGAAUCACUCCACAUUUGCCUACUUUUAUUUCUUCAAGGUUUGUAGGACUCGAUCAGACCUGGAAUGUGGUGCGUCAGUUUUGAGAAGAUAUCCUUGGUUUUCUAACCAGGCCUUUCAAGAUGCUCCUAGGGAAGAUGCCACCUCUUCUUGUAGGGAAAAAUUUAUUAGUUGCAUUUAAUCGAGAGAUAUGGCCUGGGGAGUUCGGGGCAAUUGAUAUGAUCGAGGGUUGGAGGUGUAUCACCCUAACUUUUGCAGCAGGCAAUUAGGCUUUAGGCAAACCAUCCCCAUCCCAUUUUUUUUCUGUUCACUGUGGCACUUCCUUUCGUUUAGUAUCUCCCUCUGAGGCGACCUUUAGAGCUGCCCGACGCAGUCCUGAAGUCAUGAGUCAGGCUGCCCGAAAGUCCAUCAUCCUUAAUUUUGAAUGCACUUCACUCUUCUCUUCUUGGUGGGAAGACAAAUGGACCAAGAAAUAUGGAGGAGACUUGAGAAAGACUCAUGAUCGCCUGUUCGGUCAACUUUCUCUUAAAUCAUACCCUAGCUCGGGCGAACUUGAAAAUUAGAAGGAGAUGAUUCAAGAGAAGAAUCAGGCUCUUCUGAUAGGUAUUCUUUCUUCUUAUCUUGAUUCCAUAAUCCUUCUUUUAAACCCUUUUAACUUUUUCCCUUCUUAAUCCUGUAGCCCAAGUGAAUGUUGAAUCAGUACCGAAUGAGUCCGAUGAUGACUUAGCUGAUGCAGCAGUUCUUCAUGGGGCUGUGACAAAGGCUGAAAGGUUAGAAGCUGGAGAAGGUGGGGAUGUUUCAGAAGAUUCAGGAGCUGAAAAAGAAGCGCCUGAAGCCACCAUCCAAGUGUUUAAGUGAAAGAAAGCAGUUGUGAUUGAGAACUCAGAUUCUGAUCCUGUAUCCCUACCCAAGACUAAACGACGAAUUCCUACCCCUACUCGAAAGAGUAAGAGAACCAGAACCGUCCAAACUCUCAAGUCUUCAGACCCACCUGCUCUAGUUGCUAAGGCGGGCAAAAAGAAGCAAAAAUCUUCAAGUGAGUUGUGCCCCUCUGUGUUAGGCUGCCACAUUUCUUCUUUAUCUAGUUACCUAUGUUUUUCUUGAACACAGGACCUCAAGCAUCAAAGAAACCAACCAUCGCUUCCAAGGAUGAACCCUUAGGAGCUGCAAUGUAUAAAAAGGCUGAAGAAUUGACAAACCUCACCCUUAAAGAACUUGAGGUAUAGUCUACUUUUAUGUCUGCAUAAUCUUUCCUGUUUUCACAAAAACCCUGAGCAUGGUUACUUGAGUAAGGCUGCAAGAAACAAAAAGCUCCAUCCGCCCGAGGUCUCUUCACCAGUUGCUCAAGAAACAAACCUCCCCCCCCCCCCGGGUUAAUCCUUCGGAGGUAUACUCCCUUUCUUGAACCUUAGGUAACUUUAUGAUUUCUGGGGGUAAUGCUUGAUCUUUUUCUUUCUUCUGACUUUACCCAGGUCGAGGUAUCUGCCCCCUUGCUUAGGCAAGGUUCUCCUUUGAUUUCUCCUUCCGUCCUGGAGGCAACUCCAUCAUCUCAAUUUGAUCCGUCCACGAGAGUAAUGUUGCACUUCGUGGAUGCAGACAGUAAUUUGGUGAGUAACCAUCCUUACAUUGAUUCCCCAUACAUCGUUUCGAUACUAACUUCUAUUUACCUCUUCCUCAGCCUUCCUCAAUAAGAAAUCCAUCAGUGGCAACAAGAACAAGUGAUGAACCCAUAGUCCCUGAGAUUCCUGUGACUUCAAAAGCAACUACUCUGCAGGUAUUCGCCUGCCCGACAGUUACCCUUGAUGAACCUCAUUCAUCUCCUCAGGGUCGAACUCUGGUAAGGAGAUAUUUUCUUCUUGUUCUUCUCUUACCAUCUGCUUACUAACAAUUGAUGCCCUUCCUGGGUACUUCCAGGGUAUUGGUGAAGGUUUAGGCGCAGUUUCUUCUUCCCCUGUUAGUGGUAGGGAGUCUUCUCCUCAACCAGGAAUUGGUACUCUUCCUUGUGAGGCUCCAGGGCUUGGUCAGGUAUAUUUCUUCCUCCCAAAACUUCCCUUCACUUCAAACUGUAUAUUUUAACAAUUUGAUCUUCUUUUGGUCUUUGCAGCAAGUUCUUGAAGAAACGUCUCCACCUCGCUUGGUUCGUAAGCCAAAGCUCCCCCAACCUCAUUUAACUAUCGGGAAUGCCGGGAUUCUUCAUCUUGGAACUAAGAAAGCCAGAGAGCUGAAAACGGCCCCAUCAGUGAAGGAAAAAUUUUGUCCUAGCUAAUAACAAGUAAGAACAUUUAAAUACAUAUGCAUACUAUAAACACUUUAAAGUAGGCAUGCAUUCAAAAAAAAUUCAUAAAACCCAUGACUUUCAAAGCCUAGUAUAUGGUGAACCAAUAAACUCUUUAACAACAUUAAAGAGAAGUAAAGAUUUAGAGUUUCUUUACCCUUGAAGCUCAUCCUUGAUUACACAAGGGAUUCACCCAAGUGGAGGGCCUUCAAGUCACCUCCAAGCUCCUUAGAUAUUGCUUGUGAUUUCCUUCUCCUUUUGUGCUCCUUUGGUCCUUGAGGAUGUAAGGAAAGGAUCUCCAAAAACACCAAAGAUUUGGUGUCUCUAAGUCUCCACACCAAGGGUUAAGUGUGAAGAUGAAAUGGAUGACUUAGAGAAGAAAAGAUUGCUAGAUUAAUCUCUCUAAGUGGCUGGCCUCUUUGUAGAGAGAAAGAGAGAAAAUGUUUCACCUCUUUUCUUCAAAGAAAACCCCCUAAUGAAAAUAAAGCCAUAAAGUUGUUUUUAUACUUCAUUACAAGUGAGUGGCAAACUUGUAAUUAAUUCAAGUUUGCUCCAUUCACCCUAAUGGCCGGCCUCUCCUUGUAAUUAGGCUAACUUGCCCAUUUUGUUUUAGUUGUCAUACAACUUAAACAUAAUGGGUCUUGUGGACCAAAACACUUUUGGGCCCCGUAACCCAAAACCAAAUUAAAAGCCCAAUACGAACCUUUCGUAAAAUUAAUUAACUAAUUAAUUAAUCUUGACCAUUCUUCAAUUAAACCAUUUAAUUGCAUUUCCAUUUCAUUUAAUUUCUUCAUUAUCGCCCUUACUCGGUGUACGAUCCAUUAGGUUCCAAUUAGCGAGGUAGUGGGCGAUUGUUACUCUUAACGAUCGAUUGUGAAUUGAAACCACAUUUCAAUUCUCCCUUUAAUGAUUAGUGUUUGCUAAUCAUUAGGGCUUCCACAAACCAUAAGUGACACCUAGCAGUAUGUCAUGGUUACCCAAGCUAAGUAGAAUUGGUUGGAGAACCUAUCCAGUUACAACUACAAUGCAAUACGGUUAUUCUCUAAUACUAUACCCUUAAUCACAUUGUUUAAGUGAUAGUUUGUUUCAUGUCUACUAUCCAAUGUGAUACUUUUCUAUAUGAUUCCCUUGAAUAUGAUUUGGAACAAACUUCCUAAGUCAUAUUCAUUUGCUUUGGCCAAAGACUUUAGAAUCAUAUCUUAGAGUAUUCUCCUUCCACCAUGGAAGGUUAGAGAUCCCUUGUUGUGCAUUCAUAUGCCUACAUGACUAGAUAGCUUGACCCCAACAAUGCCGUGGACACUCCGAUGGAAUGCCGUUGACAUGAUCAAAGAUCAAGGACCUAACCAUUAGACAUCUAUGAUGCCUCAAGUCAAAGGACUACUUUGCAUAUUGCAACUUUAGAGUUCUUACAUGACAUGUAUCUUCGAACUCUCUUUUGAUCGUUGUUCAGUGUACUCGAUUACUCUUUCGAGCACCUAUGUGUUUGUCUUAGUGUCCAACACUAAACGACUUGAGACUAGUCAUACUCAAGCUUGAGUUGACAUAACACAUACUAACCUUAGCGGAUUGUCAACACCCAAUUGGCAAUCCUAUGGCUAGGAACGUUUUAGGAAUGAACAUAAGAGAAUGGUCUCGAUAAUCUAACUCACUUAGAUCACUUGUCUCUUAGAUCAAAUACAUCCCUUGGAUUCCCUUAUUGCAUAAACACAUGAUACAAUAAAUAGUGUCUGUCAAUAAGCUUUGCCCUUCAUUAAACAUAUAAAAGUUUAAUACAUUAAGUAUUCCAAAAAGCUAUUACAUCAAAUGAGUGGCUUUGUGGGCAUACUUCCAACAAUCUCCCACUUGCACUCAAAGCCACCUUCCCAUGUAUCUAAUAUCCAUCCUUUCCAUAUGACGGUCAAGUUGGAUUUGAGACAUUGGCUUUGUCAGUGGAUCUGCUACGUUAUCGGCUGAAGCAACUUUGAGGAUGUUGACUUUCCCCUCGUCAAAAUGCUUGUUCUUUUGAUGUGCCCUGGGUUCCUUGGCUUGAGCUAUCGCCUCACUAUUAUCACAGUACAAAGUUACUGGUGAUGUAAUGGUUGGAACCACUCCAAGUUCAGUGAUGAACUUCUUCAUCCAUAACGCUUCUUUGCCGGCUUCAGCUGCAGCGACAUAUUCUGCGUCUGUUAUGGAAUCAGCAAUUACACUUUGUUUCUUGCUCUUCCAACUGAUAGCCCCACCAUUCAGAGUGAAUACAUAUCCGGAGUUGGAACUUCUAUCAUCGACGUCAAAUUGGAAAUCUGCGUCUGUAUAGGCUUCCACUCGCAACUCUGUCGCUCCUCCAUAUACGAGGAACAUGUCCUUAGUUCUUCUUAAGUACUUAAGGACCGUCUUGACAGCUGCCCAGUGUUCUGGUCCUGGGUUAGAUUGAUAUCGACUAGUAAUGCUCACAGCAUAUGCGAUAUCUAGCCUUGUGCACAUCAUGGCAUACAUGAGACUCCCUAUGGCAGAAGCAUAAGGAAUAAUAUUCAUUUGCUGUAUCUCUUCAGGAGUCUUAGGUUCCAUGGACUUAGAAAGGUGAAUUCCAUGUCUCACAGGAAGAAAACCUUUCUUAGAUUGUUCCAUCUGGAACCUACUUAGCACCUUAUCAAUGUACAUAGAUUGGGAUAAUCCAAUUAAUUUUCUGGAUCUAUCACGAUAGAGCUUUAUCCCAAGUACAUAAGAUGCAUCUUCUAAAUCUUUCAUGUGGAAGGUUUUCGACAACCAUACUUUUACAGAAGAAAGUAUUGCAGUGUCAUUCCCGAAUAGUAAUAUGUCAUCUACAUAUAACACUAGGAAUACUACUGCUUCCCCAACGACCUUUUGAUAAACACAAUUGUCGUCUUCGUUUUGAGUAAAACCAAACGUUUUGAUUUCAGUGUCGAAACGAAUGUUCCAGCUCCUGGAGGCUUGCUUAAGUCCAUAAAUGGACCUUUGAAGCUUACAUACCUUAGUCUUUUCAGAGUUGGACACGAAACCUUCGGGUUGAGUCAUAUAGAGCUUUUCCUUUAGGUAGCUGUUCAGAAAAGCCGUCUUCAUGUCCAUUUGCCAGAUUUCAUAAUCAUGGUACGCAGUUAUAGCAAGCAAAAUUCGAAUGGACUUAAUCAUGGCUACAGGAGAGAAAGUUUCUUCAUAGUCAAUCCCUUCUCUUUGCCUGUAACCUUUGGCUACUAGUAUAGCCUUAUAAGCCUCCACGUUCCCAUCAACGCCUAUCUUCCUCUUGAAGACCCAUUUGUUUCCAACAAGUACUAUACCUUCUGGAGGGUCUACAAGAGUCCAGACCUGAUUUUGAUACAUGGAAUCCAUCUCGGAUUUCAUGGCCUCUUGCCAUCUCUUUGAAUCAAUGUCGGACAUUGCUUCAGUGUAGUCCCUAGGGUCCUGCUUUGUGUCAUUGUCACCUAGAAGGUGCAAUUCCGCAAAGUCAUUGUCUAAGCCAUACCUCUUAGGUGGCUUACUAACCCGUUCAGAUCUACGUGGAGCUAGGGGUUCAGGAACAGGGUUGUCAACUUGUCGAGUGCUUGUUUGUGGUUCAUCAUUAAUCUCAUUAAUUUCCAUCUCUUUGCUUAUAGUUCCUUUGAGAACAAAUUGUUCCUCUAGAAACAUAGCAGUUCUGGCGACAAAGACUUUCUGGUCGUCAGGAUGGUAGAACUCAUAUCCCAUAGUUUCUUUGGGAUAUCCCACAAAAUAGCAUCUUACUGAUCUCGCUUCAAGCUUAGUAGCUUCAAGCUUCUUGACAUAUGCUUCACAACCCCAAAUCUUAAUGUGAUUAAGACUUGGCUUUCUUCUAUGCCAUAUCUCAUAGGGCGUUUGUGAAACUGACUUGGAAGGUACUCUAUUAAGCAAGUAAGCUGCUGUAUAUAGAGCGUAUCCCCAGAAUGUUACUGGUAGAUCAGCGGAACUCAUCAUAGAACGAACCAUGUUCAUCAAGGUUCAAUUUCUCCUUUCAGAAACUCCAUUAAGUUGUGGAGUUGCCGGUGCAGUCCACUGUGAUAUUAUUCCACACUCUUUGAGAUAAUCUAGGAACUCAUUACUCAGAUAUUCACCCCUCGAUCCGAUCUUAGGAUCUUUAUCUGUUUCCCAAUUUGCUUCUCAACUUCAUUCUUGAAUUCUUUGAACCUUUCAAAGGAUUCUGACUUGUACUUCAUAAGAUACACAUAGCCAAACCGAGAGUGAUCGUCGGUGAAUGUGAUAUAGUAGGAGAAGCCUCCUCUCGACGUAGUAGACAUAGGUCCACAUACGUCAGUGUGGAUUAACCCUAGAAUUUCAGUGGCACGCUCUCAUUUUCCAGUAAAUGGAGAUUUGGUCAUUUUCCCUUUCAAGCAACAUUCACAAGUACCCAUCCGGUCAUUACCUAAUGGGCGGAAAUAUCCGUCUUUCGACAUCUUGCGAAUCUUAUCAAGGUUCACAUGUCCAAGUUUAAGAUGCCACAUCUUUUCUUGGUUAACUUCUUCUCUAGCCCUUUUGGGUUUUGAGGUAUUCCCGCUUUGCAAUACAGUGCAUCCCACCCACUAUUCGUCUCUAGGUGAAAAAGUCCCUCUAUCAUAUUACCAUGAGAGAUAAUACGACCGUUCAAGUAUAAAGUGCAACUCAUUUUGUCAAACAAUACUGAGUGCCCAUCUCGUAAAAGCUUAGAGAUAGAAAUCAAAUUCUUUAUACAUGAAGGAAAAUAUAAACAAUUUUUAAGUUCCAGGACUUCCCCAGAGGGUAGUUUAAGCAUGUAGGUGCCUAUUGCUUUUGCAGAGAUUUUAGUGCCGUUCCCAACUCGCACAACCAUCUCCCCAUUGCGCAGUGACUUGCUCCCUGCUAGUCCCUGCAUCGUAUUACAGAUAUGUUGACUAGCGCCUGAAUCAAAUAUCCAGGAAUUGGAGCUCACUGUAAAAGCACUCUCUAUGACAGAAAUAGUCUCUUCAAAAGUUCGUGUCAUAAGGCUCGCAAUGCGCACCCUGUAUUUCUUCUUCCAACGUUCAUCCUUUCCACAAUGAAAGCAUGUUCCUUUGGAUUUCUUUGCCUUCUUCUUAUGCAACCUUUUCCUUGUUUUUGCAUUCUCACUCCCACUGUCCAUUUUGAAACCUUUUUCAAAUUUACAGCACAUGUCAAUCAUCUCGUUUAAAGUAUGAUCGAAUCUAUUCACUUUAUAGUUUACAAUAAACUUAGUGAAAUCAUCCGAGAGAGAUGCAAGGAAAAAGUCUUGGGCCAUUUUCCCAUCGAUGGAAGUUCCUAAACUUUGAAGAUCUUGAAAGAUCCUUUCCAUCUUUUGUCCAUGUUUCUGGACCGAUGUCCCCUUUUCCAUUUUGACAUUCAUUAGACUACAAACAUUUGAGAAUCGUACAUUACUAGUCUCAAUGUCAUGCAUCUUAUGCAAACUUUCAACCAUGGCACAAGAAGUGUCCAUGUGCUUAUGUAGCUUCAUAAGCUCCUCACUAAGUGAAGUGAGGAUUAAGCAUUUGGCUUGUAAGUCAUCCUCAUAGUGUCUAACAUAAUUUUGACACUCCUCCUUUGAAGCUAGUUUUCGUAGGAGGUACAUGAGGAGGGGAUUGCUUAAGCACAUACAAUAUGUCUUUCACCUUUGAGACAUUCUCAAUGUGGCGAUACCAAGCAAGGAAACGUUGGCCCCUAAGGCCCUUUUUGUCAAGUAUAAUGGUGGGUAUUAUUUUAGGCAUGUCGUUAACUACAUAACAUAACAGAAAUCGUAUUAGAUUGUUUGUUUUAAAAAACUAUUUGAUUGGGUCUUAAAUCAAAUAGUAGCACCCACUAUUUUUGGCAAAUUCCACAUCCCUCAAUGGAAUUCGAGAGUUAUUUUGAACUCUAAGCGGGGUAUGGGAGACUCACCAUUACCAAGCCCACCUCACGAUGAUACGAUAUUGGUUAGCAAAAAUAAUGAUGAGAGAAUAACACUUUAUUCAUUUACAACUUUUGUAAUUACCCAUCCGUUUGGCCUCUAGAGAAUGUUGCCUCACGAUGAUACUAUAGCGGCACCAUUGCACUUAGUUAAGUCAUUCCCACCAUGCUUAGUUCGUGAAGGGGUUCAAGAAUAGUCUCACAAUGAUAUGAUAUCGGCCAUCCUCGUUGCCUACACUCACCUCAUCAUAUGUUUAUGGAUUCCUCCUGGAUGUAAGCACAUACUUUGAACUCCCCCAUGAUAGGGUGAAGUCGGUGCAUGAGUCACAAACGAUUGGAGCCCACCACGGUGGAAGGCCUACGAAGAGAUGUUCAAAACAUCUCUCGUUUAUCAACUUAAUAUUCGUUUGUUGAGGGAGUAGUUUUGGGCUACAUCAAAAUCAUUUUAAUCUUAUUAAAAGAACUUUGGGCCUAUCACAACCAUUGGUCCAAGUUUAAUAUGAAUUAGUAGUUUAUAAUACUCCCACUAUUUCGAUGAAACAAGCGAGACUAUAUGGAACUACUAACGAAUGCAUUGCAUCCUCAUAUGGACUAUAUAGUCAUAUUAGGUCUUAGGAUGAUUAUGAACCGUUUAAUUUGAUCCAACACGAGCCUUGUGUUGGACCUUGGGUUUAAGGUAGAUAGUUGUUGAUUUUAGUUACGCGUUUAAUCCAAUUAAACCGUUAUUUCCUAUUGUGCGUUGGACAAAACUAUUCCAAUUUGCAUACAUAUAAACAAAAAGGAAUACAUGAAAUAAUAAUAAGGGCUUAUGCCCUUUUACAACACAAAUGAUGGACUUAUGUCCAUUUACAACAAAUUGAAUUAAUCAAAUUACAUUCAAAUCUACACUACUAAACCCAAACAUUCAUAAUGUAAAUCGGCCAAUCACAUAGCUCAAUUAUCGAGGCCUUUGGUUCAUAAUCACCCUUUUCUUAAUCAAUCACAUUAACUAAGAAAACAACUUUAAACAAUUGGUUUUUGGAUCCAUAGAAUUGAUUUAAAUGGAACUAAAUGAAAUGAAAAUCAAAUUCUCAUUAAAGAGACAAAACCAUUUUGUUCUCAUCUUAUUUGGGCCAAAAGGAAACUAUGACCACAACAAUUGGGCCACAAUGCAAAUACAAAAACUUUUGGGGUCACUUUGUAAAAACACAAAAGUCCACAACUUCAUGUAAUUACAACUAGAACCCAAAAUUUUAAUAAUGAAAAAACAUCAUUAAAGGAUCAAAACAAUUUGUCCCUUAGAGUUUUAGGGCCUUAACGUAAAAACGUAAACUUUUGGGCUAAAGUGCAAAUACACAAAAGUAUCAAAACUUUAUGUAAUUGCAUAAAAGGCCCCAAAGUACCCCCACUAGGGGGUGGCCGGCCAUUUGAGAAGAUAUGGAAAAAAUUUCUAAAAAGUUUUUGCAAGUUGAUUUUGGUAGGUGAGGUUAAAGGUGAUAAGGAUAAGUUUGUAAGAUAUUUUGCAAACAUUAAAGAAAUUUUGUCAAACAUUAAAGCCAAUAAUAAUAUCCUACCAAUAACCAUCACCCAUCAAAAUUAAACCAAAACUUUAUGAAAAACAUAAAACUUUUGAAUCAAAACUUCAAAACUUUUUUGUUCUUGGCAAGAACUUCAAGAACAUUGAAGAACACCAUGAAAACUCAUAAUAGCUCCAUGAAUGUUUUCACUCACCAAAACUCAAUUUUUCACCACUCAAAAGAGGGCUAAUAUCCUAGGGUACUUAGGGGUUCCAAAAGUCACCUUAAAACCAUUUUAACAAGACAAACAUGAACCCAAAAAAUCACCCUUUGGAUUUGGCCGAAUUUCCCAAAAUACAUGGCACCAAAUUUUAGUUCCAAUAUUCAUGCUUAAAUGAAAUACAUCUACAACAUUUGAGAUGCUAAAUUUUCUAGCAAAAUUUAUAUAUUCAAAAGCAAGAACAAAGCUUGUAACAUUUACAACAUUUAAAUCAUAAAUCAUGAAAAUCACAAAACCCAAAAGGAUUCACCAUAAACUAGGCCAAGGCUCUGAUACCACUUGAAGGAAAAAUUUUGUCCUAGCUCAGAACAAGUAAGAACAUUUAAAUACAUAUGCAUACUAUAAACACUUUAAAGUAGGCAUGCAUUAAAAAACAAUUCAUAAAACCCAUGACUUUCAAAGCCUAGUAUAUGGUGAACCAAUAAACUCUUUAACAACAUUAAAGAGAAGUAAAGAUUUAGAGUUUCUUUACCCUUGAAGCUCAUCCUUGAUUACAUAAGGGAUUCACCCAAGUGGAGGGCCUUCAAGUCACCUCCAAGCUCCUUGGAUAUUGCUUGUGAUUUCCUUCUCCUUUUGUGCUCCUUUGGUCCUUGAGGAUGUAAGGAAAGGAUCUCCAAAAACACCAAAGAUUUGGUGUCUCUAAGUCUCCACACCAAGGGUUAAGUGUGAAGAUGAAAUGGAUGACUUAGAGAAGAAAAGAUUGCUAGAUUAAUCUUUCUAAGUGGCCGGCCUCUUUGUAGAGAGAAAGAGAGAAAAUGUUUCACCUCUUUUCUUCAAAGAAAACCCCUAAUGAAAAUAAAGCCAUAAAGUUGUUUUUAUACUUCAUUACAAGUGAGUGGCAAACUUGUAAUUAAUCCAAGUUUGCUCCAUUCACCCUAAUGGCCGGCCUCUCCUUGUAAUUGGGCUAACUUGCCCAUUUUGUUUUAGUUGUCAUACAACCUAAACAUAAUGGGUCUUGUGGACCAAAACGAUUUUGGGCCCCGUAACCCAAAACCAAAUUAAAAGCCCAAUACGAACCUUUCGUAAAAUUAAUUAACUAAUUAAUUAAUCUUGACCAUUCUUCAAUUAAACCAUUUAAUUGCAUUUCCAUUUCAUUUAAUUUCUUCACUAUCGCCCUUACUCGGUGUACGAUCCAUUAGGUUCCAAUUAGCGAGGUAGUGGGCGAUUGUUACUCUUAACGAUCGAUUGUGAAUUGAAACCACAUUUCAAUUCUCCCUUUAAUGAUUAGUGUUUGCUAAUCAUUAGGGCUUCCACAAACCAUGAGUGACACCUAGCAGUAUGUCAUGGUUACCCAAGCUAAGUAGAAUUGGUUGGAGAACCUAUCCAGUUACAACUACAAUGCAAUACGGUCCAUUCUCUAAUACAAUACUCUUAAUCACAUUGUUUAAGUGAUAGUUUGUUUCAUGUCUACUAUCCAAUGUGAUACUUUUAUAUAUGAUUCCCUUGAAUAUGAUUUGGAACAAACUUCCUAAGUCAUAUUCAUUUGCUUUGGCCAAAGACUUUAGAAUCAUAUCUUAGAGUAUUCUUCUUCCACCAUGGAAGGUUAGAGAUCCCUUGUUGUGCAUUCAUAUGCCUACAUGACUAGAUAGCUUGAUCCCAACAAUGCCGUGGACACUCCGAUGGAAUGCCGUUGACAUGAUCAAAGAUCAAGGACCUAACCAUUAGACAUCUAUGAUGCCUCAGGUCAAAGGACUACUUUGCAUAUUGCAACUUUAGAGUUCUUACAUGACAUGUAUCUUCGAACUCUCUUUUGAUCGUUGUUUAGUGUACUCGAUUACUCUUUCGAGCACCUAUGUGUUUGUCUUAGUGUCCAACACCAAACGACUUGAGACUAGUCAUACUCAAGCUUGAGUUGACAUAACACAUACUAACCUUAGCGGAUUGUCAAUACCCAAUUGGCAAUCCUAUGGCUAGGAACGUUUUAGGAAUGAACAUAAGAGAAUGGUCUCGAUAAUCUAACUCACUUAGAUCACUUGUCUCUUAGAUCAAAUACAUCCCUUGGAUUCCCUUAUUGCAUAAACACAUGAUACAAUAAAUAGUGUCUGUCAAUAAGCUUUGCCCUUCAUUAAACAUAUAAAAGUUUAAUACAUUAAGUAUUCCAAAAAGCUAUUACAUCAAAUAAGUGGCUUUGUGGGCAUACUUCCAACAAUCAGUAGGCGCUACCUCAUUAAAGGAAAUUGGAGAACGAAAUCCCCUUCCUGUUUCUCUAUUUGCAAAAACUGCUAAGUUGCCCGAACUGUUUGAAAAAUUCGGGCAGCUCGAGACAAGGCUGAAAUCUUCGAUGCAUUCUUCACCUUCAGGUUUUCCAGAGCAAAAGCGAGUUUUCCAAGAAUGGGCAAGGAAGGAUUUCUCUGCUUCAUUUAGCCUUAAGGCCUUUUAUGAUCUGGAAAAGGUUACGAGUGAGCUUUUUAAAGUCGGCCAACUGUCAAAAACCCAACAUGAUUCCUUUCUCUCUUUCUUUGAGAAUCUGAAGGCUCUUCGGGACCAACAUAAGAGAGCAGAAAGACAAGCCAAUCGUGUAAUAUGCUUCCAGGAGAAGGAAUCAAGUACUUCUGCUCAGGUAGACAGGUUGAUGAAUGUUGGUUCGUUGACAAAAGAAAGAAUUGGAGUGGUGACUUCUGAAAUCCAAAAACUAGAAGAACAACUGGUUGUUCUCAAGGCUAACCAAGCAAUUCUUCUUGACACCCUCGAACAUCAAAUCGAAGAAGUGCAGAAGACGAACUUGGAGUUAGAGCAUUCUAGAUCUCAGCUUGCAAAUAGCCACACUGUCCUGGCCGAACCUAGUAGGAUUUUUACAAUCAUGCAGACAUAUCACUCCCGAAUAAUCACCCUAAGUGAAGAUGUAAAAUUAUUAGACUGGGAUUACUUGUAAUCCCUAUCUUAGUGGAAUGAACAAGUACUUUUCUUUUGCUUGCUUUGCUUCUGGCCCUUGUCUGAACUUCUUUCGGGCAACUCUUUGCCCCCUUGUUUACUUCUUCUUCAUUUGGGCGAGGGUGUUGUGACAACCUGAGAUCCAUCUUUCCCCUUUGUCGUAACAAUUGAUGACACUGGCCUCUCCAUCUAAACCAGAUGGAUCGCGUUGAUAGGAGCUUCCGGGAAAGGAUUGGUAUCCACCAUCAUACUAGCUUGUGGCUUGUCAAGUAACAACUUUCCCUUCACUAUAAGGUCUUGUAUCCAGUCUCUAAACUGGACACAAUUGGUUAUAAAAUGGUUGAAGGUAUAGUGUAACUUGCAAUACUUCUUUCCCCUCAGUUCUUCUGGUUUGGGCAUCUUUUUCGUACUGUCAGGUAUAAUCACUCUUGCCCGCACCAGCUCUUCAUAAAUCUCAGGUGCUUUAGCCAGAUCGAACGAAUAGCUCUGGUAUUUAGGAGGUUUUAUCGGGACAAAGCCUCCAUUGUUCAUCACAAUCUUCUGGUUUUUUAUGGGCUGAACUAAUCCUUUCACCAUUAAUGGUUUGAAAGGCGUAGUCAUCUCAGCAGCACACACCUCGAUUUCCUCUCUAUCAUGGUCAUCCUCUUGCUCUGGUCCAAUUUCUCUUACCUCCACAUGAUGAAUUGCAGCUUUGUUUUUGUAGAAGGGAGGAGUUUUGGAAGUAUGCUUCACUUGUUGUUCUUCUAGUAAUAACCUUUCAUAUCUUGUGACAGCAAUGACUAAUUCAUGUAGCUCGUUAAAUUGUGUAUCAUAAAAUCUUUUCCUCAAAGGCAAUUUCAGAGCCUUUUGAGCAAUUGAUAUGAGCUGAGCUUAGUUAACAGGGAAUUGGCACCUCAUCCUUGUCUUCCUGAACCUCAUCAUGAAGUCCUCUGUGGACUCAUGCUCAUAUUGUUUGACUUCAACUAGAUCAUUAAUAGUCAUUUCUGGUUCUAUUCUGUAAAACUGUUCAUGGAAAGCCAUCUCUAUUUUCCCCCAGUUGGCAAUAAAAUUAGGGGGUAAUAGAGAAUACCACUGGGAUGCAAGUCCUGACAACGAAUUCCCAAACAACCUUAACUUGUAAUUUGGGUUGUCUUCAUAUGCCACACAGUGAUUAGGGAAUUUGAAAAUGUGAUCUCUGGAGGACACACUGCUGUAUUCACCUGUGAAUGUUGGGAAUGCGGGCAUCUUGAAGUUGAGAGGAAAUUGAUUAUGUUCAUCAAUGUAUUUAGGAUAAGGCUUUUGAUAAGUAAUUCUGAAUACUGGACGAGCUCGUGGUUGAGCAUUUUGAACCAUUGCCCUCCUCAAUUCAGCUAACUCAUCUCUCAGUUGUUGAGUAGUUGUAUUAUUCUGAAAUAGAAGAGCGGACUCGUUCUUCGGGCUUCGAUCAUUGCCUGUGAAUGCUUCUUUCUUCGAUUCAGGCUUUCUCCAGUUGGUUCCCCUUCCCUUAUGAGCCAAUAGGGGUGGCCUAUAAGGAGGAGGUUUAUCCGAAGCCGCAUAGCUUUUUUUUUUGCUAGACUUUCCUAUUGUUAUGGGCAUCCCAUACUUUGUCCUUUCCUGCUCGCUUUGCUUCCUAUUAUUAAAUGAUAAUAAUGGGAAGCUAGGAAACUCUUUCCCCAGGACCGGCUCUAUCAUGGGUUGACUUUCUUCAAGAACUGCUUUCUUCUUUCCCCUAUCCGUUUCUUCUUCUAAUAAUGGAAAUAGGGGAAUGAUUGGCUCACUUCUGAUGGUAACCUGGCUCAUCCCACUCCCUUGAGCUCCUUUUGAAGUGGAAAACUCCAGAUCUAGCUUCCUCUAUAAAUUCCCUGUUAAGGUACACAGUCUACUGACUUCCCCCUUGGUCUCCAAAGAGAUUUUUUCCAUACUUCUCAAUACUUGUAUCAUAGUAGCCUGUAAUUCUUCAUUAGUUCAUUUCCCUUCUGACUUCCCGGAUGAAGAUGGGCUUUCUAGGACUACCUGUCCGGAUGGGGAAGAAUGAUUUCUUGAUUGAUCUGUCAUUGGUAGUAAAAGUUGAGAAGAACCGUUCUUCGUACUCUUUCUGCGAAGUUUAUGGCCUUUCUUCUUGGACAUACAAGAUCCACACAAAUGAGAUCCCACCGGGCGUGCCAAAACUAUGUUCGUGGCAGAAAUUUUUGUGGGGGAUGCUUCUUGGCCGAGGAGCACACAGUUCCCCGAGAGGUUGGCGCCGGUUGAUGCUUUCUGUCGGGCUCCUGCUUUACUGGCAGGCUUGUCGGGCAAAGCCUGUCGAGCAAGGCUGAAAGAGAAGAACAGAGUGAACUUUGAAAGGUGCUUUUGUGAGGCCUUAGGUGUAGGCCUUGAGGCUCACAAUCAAGAUUAACUUUUAAGUGCUCAGGCGUGCCACUGCCAUUUUCAGCAUGGCAGAUGUAGAACGGAUGUUUGAAUUUUAAUUAUAUAUAUUCAAGAGACUAUGUUAGUUAUUGACAGGUGCCUUUGUGGGGCCUUAGGUGUAGGCCUUGAGACUUCCCAUAAAUAACUAACUUAGUACUCGAACACAUAAGGUUCCUUUUGUUGGUUAUAUGAGUCUUAUAACCAUCAUACUUCUGAUUACCUGAGCCCAACGAGCAUAAUGAAUCCAAAUGAGUGCUUUUGUGAGGCCUUGAAUAGGCCUUGAGGCUUCCCAUCAGAACUCCUUCUAUACUCAAUGUUCUCGCCCGAGAAAUAGGAUGAAUCCAAAUAGGUGCCUUUGUGGGGCCUUGAAAUGGCCUUGAGGCUUCCCAUCAUAAUUCAUCCCAUACUCGAACGUUAUAUGGUAAUCAUAAUAUAACAGAAAUAAAACUAAGUGACAGGUCGAUUACUUGCGCCUCAAGUAACUUUGGACUUCUUGUUAUCAAAGUUUGUCGUGGAUGGGUUAAGUCCACAUCAGGUUCUUUUCUAUGCCUUGAGGCCAAGGACUUUUAGAGUAAUCAAAUCUUAUAUGCCCGAGGGCUUAAAACUUAGAUCUGGCUUGAACUAUGAAGACAUAUUCAAAUCGGAUUCAAGCACUGAGAGAGUCUUUUAAUAGCCAUAUUACUAGAAAUAACUUGGAUACAACUUGUAGUAUACAACAUAUUGCUAAGCUAAUGAAUGGAAAGACAAAAACAAAAAGGGUUGGGCAAGGUUUAACCUUGUUGGGCAAGGCUGAUCGUCUUGCAACUUCCUAUCUUUGUGGUUUAUCAGGAGGUUUGAGAGCUUAGAAAAGGGGUUGGGAGGUGAGUUUACAGAAAGAAAUCGAUACUACAGCAAGAGUUGAACAGGGUAGCAGAGCUAUUACAAAGGGUUUAUCUCGAAAGGGAUGAAGGCUUGGGCUGACUACAGCUUCGUUUUGAAGGCAAAUCUGGCCUUUAGCAGAGUUUGUGCUUUUGUUUGUUUGUUUGAGUGUCCUUGACUCUGAUUUCUCUUUCUCUUUUUAUAGACACUUUGGCUUGGCCUCCUGUAGCAAUAAUCUUGCCCGAAUGCAGUUUUGAAGGAUAGUGACUCAUCAGCUAUUUACUUGUACUGCCAUCAUAAAGUACUUUUGGGCUGAUUAGCUGGCUGGUCUAUACCACUUGGCCCUUUGGUAGGUGAGCAAGUGGUGCAAAUGAUCUGCACCUAGUCGAGAAAGGCCCUUUUUUGCUUUUUGGGCUUGGGCUGAGCUUCGAGCUUUUCCUUCUCUUUUUGGGCCAACUCCCUUCUAAACCCAAAGUUUAAGUUUGAACUCAAACAGAAUCAGCCUCGCCUUCCUCUUCCAAGGCUUUGCCACUCCUGAUGUCGUUUCUUCUAGAUCUUAGAGCCAUGAAUCAAAGUUGCGAUUUGGUCCCUAAUGGACUCGCCAUUUUUAUGUUGGGAGACUUUUAGGUUGAGUUGGACUUGAGCCUUAAUGGAAAUCUUUUUGCUUCCCCUAGUUUGUUUCAACACCAAGUCCCUAAAUAACUCAAAAGAAUUAGAGUGUCAUCUGAAGUGUCUCGGUUGGACUAAUGGCUCAAAAAUUCAUGUCCAACCGAUGGUUGAGCUAUAAUUCUAUAGAGCCCACCAAACCAUUAUUUGGCCAAAGGGGCGUCAGGAUGGCCAAUUGUAGCCCUCCUCUUAGCCAUUUUUUUGGGGCCAAGCUCCUUAGUUGCAAUAAUUAAUUCAAAUCCAACCACUAAAUUUGAAAAUAUCCAACCACUAAAUUUGAAAAUAUCCAACAGUAGUUUAAUUAAAUUAAUCAAUAAAGUUCAAGUAUAAACUUAAAACUAAGAAAUUAUUGAGAGGCAAUGUUUAGCCCAAUUGGAUAGAAAUGAUAUAUGAGUAUGACAUGAUACUAAUCAUUUAAAAAUAAUUUUUUGCAUGGCUCUGUUUAGCCCUUUCGAUUGGAGAUGAUGGCCUAAAGGGAUCCCUUGAUUUCCUACUUUCUUCUCGUUUUGGCUUAGUCUUCAUAUUUCUUUCCCUUGGUACAUCUAUGACCUUCCUUUUUAGCAUAACAUAGAUCGUUGCUCCUAUGAAGACUAGUCGUGCACUCUACCUAGAAUGUCUUAGUCCCUAGUCAAUUUUCCACAAGCAUUUCUUUUGGCACCACCCCUCCUUGUUUUCAUUUCUUGUUUUUCUAUAUAAGUUGGGAAGGGAAAGAUCCCAUUCCUCCUCAUUAAUGAACGCUUUGCACUAGGUUUUCACAUGGUCCUGAAACUUUGGAUUUUUGUUUCUCCCUAAACAGGCUGGUUGGCUUACUAAUGGAAAGGGAAACUUGAUUUGUUCUCUCCCAAACCUACCUACGUGGAACUCAAGAAUCAUGGGAUUAGACUUUUGGUACUCCUAAGCAGCCCAAAGUCUUCCACAAUAUUCGUUUCACAUAGGCUUGAUAAUCUUCCGUAAUCAUCCACACCAUGAUCUAGUUGGUUAACCCUUGAUACAUGGCAUGGGCUCAUAUUAACGUGUAGCGUGGUUAACAUGACUUGUCUACAACAUCGUGACAAAGCUUGGCGUGAUAGAUAUGCAUGGGCUUGGCGUGAUCAUAUAACCGUCCGGCUCAUAGAUUAUUUGGCAUGAUUAUAAAUAUGCUUCCUUCUCGAUUUUGCAUCUUUGCAUAUACUUAAGCUUGGCUCAAGGUAUUUUUAUGAUAAUCAGGCUUCCAGAUGUGAUUGGGCUUGUACAUGAGAUUUGUGGGCCCAACAGUAGGCAAUAUUGUUGCCUAAUUUGGAAGAGUGCAAUUUUACCUACUCAAUUGCCAACGUGCAACAUUUUGCUUACGUGACUCAUCAAAUAUGGUUUGCCUACCCAUUUGCCAAUACCAAUGCAAAUGCUCUAAUAGCUCGAUGCUAUAUUGGCUAACAAUAUCUACAAUGGGAGAUGUAAAAUGUCUUGAAAUGAACAUUUUAUAUUUUUAGUUGGUAAAUCUUUCUAAUAGAAAGAUGUAAAAUUCUCAACUUAGCCGAAAGAUGUAAAUAAAAAUCUAAAUUUACAUAUUUGUUUACAUCUGUUUGGAGGUGGACCCCAUCAAAUAAAGGGAGAAUAGUACAUGGGAUCUCAAGUUUGCAUCUCUCCCAUUGAAAUACAUGUCACAUUGACAUCCCCAUAAAAUGUAAAAAUGUGAUGUAAUUAUAGUUUUCACAUCUUAACUAUGCACCUCUCCAUCAAAGAUGCUCUAAUGUAUGUAUGUACAGUAGUUUUGCCUUUAAUGCCAAAAGUUUUAUGUCAGGAAAUUGUAAGCAUGUUUUUUGUUUUGUCAAAAGUUGUAAGCAUGCUUGAAAAGUUGAAAACAUUUUUACCUCAACAAGAAGGAGCCUAUUUUGACGAGUUAUAAUUAUAUUACAGAGAAGUAUCUUUCCUUUAAAUUUUUAUUUGUGACAUUACAUUAUUUUGGCGUUAUUAACAGUUAUACUAUGUAGAGGCAAAUUUUUUUAUAACAAAAUCUAAAAAAAUUAUAACUUAUUACAAUAUAAAAAUUAUGUAACAUUUCAUAAAUAGAUAGAGGUUAUUACUGCAUAGAGUAUCACAAUAAAUCUAUUAAUGGAUGUAGCAUUUCUCGAAAGGAGAUGUAUGGUAGCUCAAGUAUGGAAUAGCUAAAUAUUAUAUGGAGGUUUUUGUUGUAAAAUAGACGAUAUAUGUAGUUGCAUAUAAAGUAAAUAAGGUACAAUAUUUACGAAGUUUAGCAAGUGUGCCUACGUUAUCGGGGUAGCAACAGUAGUUUCUUUCAUUAUCUGAAUUAAUAAGAGUAUAAAGAUAACUCUUACUAUUUUUCUCUCCUCUCUAGCCUUGGCAUACCUUCCAUGAAUUUCUCUAUUGUGUUGUGUUUUCUUUUAGGCAUUUUAUAUUAGUAUCCCACAAAAUGUUGAAUGUACCCCACAUUAAAAUUUAAUAUUAAUAACUUAUUUACCCUACUAUGCAAUUACAAUUUGACCUUAUUAGGUUUUAAAAAAAUAAAAAAUUUCUAAAUACACCCCAAAUCACUUUUAACGUAUUAUUUAUCUUUUCAACUAUCAAAACCCCUCUCAUCGUCCAUUGUUGAAUAAAACCCUAAGCAAUGAAACUACAAACAUGUUGAUUGAGAAAAAUUAUUUUUGACCGGAACAUGAAAUCAGUGUUUCGAAAGCUUUACAUGAGAUAAGACUUAAUACUUUUCUUUGUUUUAGUGAUUUCGACGACAUCGAUAAUUAUUUAAUCUCACUCAAUCUAAUAAUUCAAGAAUUAGCACUUAUGAAUCUCAUAAUUCGAAAACCAUGGCAUGCAAAUUGAUUGCAGAUUGAGUUCAUAAGGUGCUUUCUUGCAGGUUGACUUGGUUCGACCAAAAUAUGCACAAGAAAAUGGAAACAACAUGGUAGCUUUGAAAUCAUUAUUUUUGUUAUUGAAAAACGUUCAAAUGAACCUAAACAUUUUUUUUCAAAUCAUUCAAUUUGAAAUCAUUCGGCAAACUAACUUUUAGAUGGUUUGAAAUAAUUCGGCAAAAUUAAAAAUGAGUGUUAUAAGAUUUGAGAAAUGUGGGGGUGUAUGUAGAAAAUGUAAGGUGUAUAUUAAGAAUGUGGGAUGUGAGGGUAUUAUGGGGAAGGAAGUGGGAUGUAUUAAGAUAAUUUUUAAUUUAAAAAGUAAAUGUGGGGUGUAUUAAGUAUGUGGAGUUUAUUCAACAACUUGUGAGGUGCUAAUAUAAUUAGCUUUUAUUGUGUUUUGGUCAUAGAUCGCAUACUCUUUAUAUAGAGCUCUUAACAUGCAAAAGUCUACAAUACCAAUUAAUACAUGUUGAAAAUUCACACAUAUAAAUAGCAAAAAACCAUACAUCUAUUUAAGCCUAUAAUUUCGACUUCCAUUCUUCUAUCUUUCACAUCCUUGUUUUAUGUGGGCAUUCAACCAAUUUCACAACAGCUUGGCUGUCAUUUUUCACUCUGAACCUUUUUCCUAGCCAAUUAUAUCUCUCAAACCUUUAUAAAUAUUUAAUUAUUUCCCCAAAAAACAAAGUUUCAAAUCUUUUAUCUAUUUUUUGUUUAUAUUUGUCACAGGAGCUACUUAAAACAACAACAACAACAACAACAACAAAGCCUUUUCCCACUAAGUGGGGUCGGCUAUAUGAAUCCUAGAACGCCAUUGCGCUCGGUUUUGUGUCAUGUCCUCCGUUAGAUCCAAGUACUCAAGUCUUUUCUUAGGGUCUCUUCCAAAGUUUUCCUAGGUCUUCCUCUACCCCUUCGGCCCUGAACCUCUGUCCCGUAGUCACAUUUUCGAACCGGAGCGUCAGUAGGCCUUCUUUGCACAUGUCCAAACCACCGGAACCGAUUUUCUCUCAUAUUUCCUUCAAUUUGGCUACUCCUACUUUACCUCGGAUAUCCUCAUUCCCAAUCUUAUCCUUUCUCGUGUGCCCAUACAUCCCACGAAGCAUCCUCAUCUCCGCUACACCCAUUUUGUGUACGUUGAUGCUUCACCGCCUAACAUUCUGUGCCAUACAACAUUGUUGGCCUUAUUGCCGUCCUAUAAAAUUUUCCCUUGAGCUUCAGUGGCCUACGACGGUCACACAACACGCCGGAUGCACUCUUACACUUCAUCCAUCCAGCUUGUAUUCUAUGGUUGAGAUCUCCAUCUAAUUCUCCGUUCUCUUGCAAGAUAGAUCCUAGGUAGCGAAAACGGUCACUUUUUGUGAUCUUCGCUAGAUUGCUCCGGUCAUUAGUGUGGAUAAGUAUUUAAAUAGAUAGAGAUAGGAAAGCAAACACAAGAUGUACGUGGUUCACCCAGAUUGGCUACUUCCACGGAAUAGAGGAGUUCUCAUUAAUUGUGAAGGGUUUACACAAGUACAUAGGUUCAAGCUCUCCUUUAGUGAGUACAAGUGAAUGAUUUAGUACAAAUGACAUUAUGAAAUAUUGUGGGAGAAUGAUCUCGUAGCCACGAAACUUCUAAGUACCGGAGUGUGGUAUCGUCUUGACUUGCCUUAUCUGUCUCAUAGGUAGAUGUGGCAUCUUCUCUGGAAGUACUCUUCCUCCAUCCAGGGGUGGUAUCUGUAACUGGUGGAGAUGCACAAGGUAAUGUAUCAAUUUCACUUGAAGCUUACUUGUAGUUUCAUGCUUGGUCAAGCGCGAUACAAACCAUGUAGUAGGAGUCCCCCAAGUCGCCGAGUUAGGGGAUCUGCUGAAAGAGGUGACAGACAAGGUAAGCAAUCAGAGCUCCGGCUGAUUGUUCACAUUCUCCCUAUCUUGCAGGCAGCAUGAAGGAUAAAGAGAAGAAAAAUGAGGAGAGAUGAUAUAGGAUACUUUUGCUUUUGAAGAAGUAACUUUCCACAGGCUUAUUCUUGAACUGGGCUGGAGGGUUUUCUGGUUUCCUCCAGAGUAUAAGGCCGACUGAAGAAUUUGAGGGUCAAAAUAAGUCCAUCAAAUCUAGAGUACGUUCGACCCUGCUGAUAUGGGAUACUUUUGCUUUUGACAGAGUAGUGGAUGUAUCGGUACGUGUGCUGUUACGCUUGUCUCCAAAUGCUUCCUUGUAUCCUUCUCACUUGCCCUAUCUGUUCCUCAAGCAGAUGCGGUAUCUUCCCUGGAAGCAUAAGAUGUUGAAGAUGAGUACUCGAGAGCAAUGCCAGGUAAGUAAUCAGGUAAGGGGUUCCAGGCAGUCAGUUCCUGGCUGGAAGCUUGAUUCCAAGUGCUGACUGAUUGCUCUCUUUCUCCUUGUCUUGCAGGUAAGAACAAGGCCAAAGGAAAAGACAGGGAAAAAGCAUGAUAUGGGAUACUCUUGCUUUUAACCCUGAUGAUAUGAGAUAUUCUUGCUCUAGUAUAGCUUGUUUACAGAGGUAUUAUCGGGGGGAAAGAAAGCUGAAAAUUUCGAAAGGCUUCGUUGGGAGUGCCCUCUCAGAUAAGAGAAAGGGUUGAGCAUUUUUGCAGGUCUGCCUGUCCGUUAGGGAUGGAGGUCGACAUAUAUAGGAGUCUCCCUAACAUCAAGUAAUAAUGCUAUUCCUUUGCCCUGCUUGGUUAUAGCACGGUAGUGGGAGCUGCCAGCUUCACACGUUUUAACUCUGUCAGAGCACUUUGAAAAAGUGGUCUGUGGUAUCUGGAAAGCUGAUGUUGCGUGUGAAGAUUACAGACAAGCUUUAUCCAAAGAGAUCCAGCUCUUGAAGUUGGGAAAGUGGUGCCUCUUCGGUUUUCGAACAAGCAAUCCUGUCGGGGAUUUGGCUCUCGAGAUUCGGAGAACGAUGCCUCUUCGAUUUUUGAGAAAGCAAUCCUGCUGGGGGUCUGGCUCUCGAGAUUCGGAGAGCGUUGUCUCUUCGAUUUUUUAGAAAGUAAUCAUGUUGGGAGUCUGGCUCUCGAGAUUCGGAGGACGGUGCCUCUUCGAUUUUGGAGCAAGCAAUCUUGUUGGGAGUGUUUUCUCGAAUGUGAGUAAAGGUUGGGCAUGUUUGCUAGUCUACCUUGCCACGAAGCACAGAGGUUGACACACAGGGACUUUCCAAUUAUCCAGCAGUGGUACUGUUCCUUUACCCUCUCUUCGAUUUUUGAGAAAGUAAUCAUGUUGGGAGUCUGGCUCUUGAGAUUCGGAAGGCGGUGCCUCUUCGAUUUUGGAGCAAGCAAUCUUGUUGGGAGUGUUUUCUCGAAUGUGAGUAAAGGUUGGGCAUGUUUGCUAGUCUACCUUGCCACGAAGCACAAAGGUUGACACACAGGGACUUUCCAAUUAUCCAGCAGUGGUACUGUUCCUUUACCCUCUCUUCGAUUUUUGAGAAAGUAAUCAUGUUGGGAGUCUGGCUCUCGAGAUUCGGAGGGCGGUGCCUCUUCGAUUUUGGAGCAAGCAAUCUUGUUGGGAGUGUUUUCUCGAAUGUGAGUAAAGGUUAGGCAUGUUUGCUAGUCUACCUUGCCACGAAGCACAGAGGUUGACACACCGGGACUUUCCAAUUAUCCAGCAGUGGUACUGUUUUUUUACCCUUGUGGGUAAUAAUAUGGUAGCUAGACCUUCAAAAUUUAUGUGUCUAAACUUUGUUAGUGUUGUUUCUUUGCAAUUCUUUUACCCUUCUUGGUCAGAGCGAUGUAGUGGGAGCUGCAAGCUUCACGUGUCUCAACUUUGUCAGAGAACUUUGGCAAAGUUAUCUGUGGUACCCAUGAGCUACUGUUGCGUGUGGGAAGUGGGUGAUUGAACAGUACGAUUCAUGUGCUUUCUCUUCGCCAGAAAUCUUCGACAUAAUGCCCAUAAUUUCCGCAAAGCUGAGUGUGCGUGUGACAGGUGCUGACAAGGCUGGAAAAGUAGGUGCCUCUUCGAUUUCUGAGAUCGGCCCUCGUGGUCUCUGAGCAGCCCAGCUUUUGAGAAAGCAAGCCUCUUCGAUUUCUGAGAUCGGCCUUCGUGGUCUUUGAGCAGCCCAACUUUUGAGAAAGCAAACGCCUCUUCGAUUUCUGAGAUCGACCCUCGUGGUCUCUGAACAGCCCAGCUUUUGAGAAAGCAAACGCCUCUUCGAUUUCUGAGCAGGCGCCUCUUCGAUUUCCGAAGCUUCGUCGAGUGCAGAUUUUUAUAGAGACUGACAUUAAGUUCCAAAGCACACUUGAAUAUCCACCAGUAGAAGCUUAAUUCUUGCACUUCUAAGAUCUUGAUUUGUCUGACCUCUUCUCUCUUCAACCCUUUGAAAAUGUCUGGCCCAUCCGACCGUCGUUUUGACUUGAACCUUGUUGAAGAGGCAGCCCCGCCUUCUCCAGACAACAUAUGGCGCCCAUCCUUCGUCUCCCCUACUGGUCCUCUUACCGUUGGGGAUUCCGUGAUGAAGAAUGAUAUGACCGCUGCGGUAGUGGCCAGGAACCUUCUCACUCCCAAAGAUAACAGACUACUUUCCAAACGGUCUGAUGAGUUGGCUGUUAAGGAUUCUCUGGCUCUCAGUGUUCAGUGUGCAGGUUCUGUGUCUAAUAUGGCCCAACGCCUAUUUGCUCGAACCCGCCAAGUUGAAUCAUUGGCGGCUGAAGUGAUGAGUCUCAAACAGGAGAUUAGAGGGCUCAAGCAUGAGAAUAAACAGUUGCACCGGCUCGCACAUGACUAUGCUACAAACAUGAAGAGGAAGCUUGACCAGAUGAAGGAAUCUGAUGGUCAGGUUUUACUUGAUCAUCAGAGAUUUGUGGGUUUGUUCCAAAGGCAUUUAUUGCCUUCGUCUUCUGGGGCUGUACCGCGUAAUGAAUCUCCAAAUGAUCAACCUCUGAUGCCUCCUCCUUCUAGGGUUUUGUCCAGUACUGAGGCUCCGAAUGAUCCCCCUCCGGUGCCUUCUCUUUCUGGGGCUCUACCGACUGCUGAGACUUCUCCUAAGCAACCUUUGUGAAGGCUCCCUCUUGUUGUUUUAUUUUGACUCAAGUAUAUGUACAUAUUUGUAACUUAUCGGGGAUAUCAAUAAAUAAGCUUUCCUUCAUUUCAACGUAUUGUGUUAAAUACACCAAAGCCUUCUUCGCUAAGUUCUUUGAAUUUUCUUUUGUUGAAGCUUGUAUGUUGAAGCUUUGUGAGUGGAGCAUAUAGGUUGAGAUAGUGUUCCCUUAAUUUCCCGAGUGAGGAAAACUUCUCGGUUGGAGACUUGGAAAAUCCAAGUCACUGAGUGGGAUCGGCUAUAUGAAUCUUAGAACGCCAUUGUGUUCUGUCCUGUGUCAUGUCCUCCGUUAGAUCCAAGUACUCUAAGUCUUUUCUUAGGGUCUCUUCCAAAGUUUUCCUAGGUCUUCCUCUGCCCCUUCGGCCCUGAACCUCUGUCCCAUAGUCACAUCUUCUAAUCGGAGCGUCAGUAGGCCUUCUUUGCACAUGUCCAAACCACCGUAACCGAUUUUCUCUCAUCUUUCCUUCAAUUUCGGCUACUCCUACUUUACCCCGGAUAUCCUCAUUCCUAAUCUUAUCCUUUCUCGUGUGCCCACACAUCCAACGAAGCAUCCUCAUCUCCGCUACACCCAUUUUGUGUACGUGUUGAUGCUUCACCGCCCAACAUUUUUGUGCCAUACAGCAUCGCCGGCCUUAUUGCCGUCCUAUAAAAUUUUCCCUUGAGCUUCAGUGGCAUACGGCGGUCACACAACACGCCGGAUGCACUCUUCCACUUCAUCCAUCCAGCUUGUAUUCUAUGGUUGAGAUCUCCAUCUAAUUCUCCGUUCUUUUGCAAGAUAGAUCCUAGGUAGCGAAAACGGUCGCUCUUUGGUAUUUCUUGAUCUCCGAUCCUCACCCCUAACUCGUUUUGGCCUCCAUUUGCACUGAACUUGCACUCCAUAUAUUCUGUCUUUGAUCGGCUUAGGUGAAGACCUUUAGAUUCCAACACUUCUCUCCAAAGGUUAAGCUUUGCAUUUACCCCUUCCUGAGUUUCAUCUAUCAACACUAGGUCGUCUGCGAAAAGCAUACACCAAGGAAUAUCACCUUGAAUAUGUCCUGUUAACUCAUCCAUUACCAACGCAAAAAGGUAAGGACUUAAGGAUGAGCCUUGAUGUAAUCCUACAGUUAUGGGAAAGCUUUCGGUUUGUCCUUCAUGAGUUCUUACGGCAGUCUUUGCUCCUUCAUACAUAUCCUGUAUAGCUUGGAUAUAUGCUACUCGUACUCCUUUCUUCUCUAAAAUCCUCCAAAGAAUGUCUCUUUGGACCCUAUCAUACGCUUUUUCCAAAUCUAUAAAGACCAUGUGUAAAUCCUUUUUCCCAUCUCUAUAUCUUUCCAUCAAUCUUCGUAAGAGAUAGAUUGCCUCCAUGGUUGAGCGCCCUGGCAUGAACCCGAAUUGGUUGUCCGAAACCCGUGUCUCUUGCCUCAAUCUAUGCUCAAUGACUCUCUCCCAAAGCUUCAUUGUAUGACUCAUUAGCUUAAUACCCCUAUAGUUCAUGCAAUUUUGUACAUCGCCCUUAUUCUUGUAGAUAGGCACUAAAGUGCUCAUUCGCCACUCAUUCGGCAUCUUCUUCGUUUUCAAAAUCCUAUUGAAAAGGUCAGUGAGCCAUGUUAUACCUGUCUCUCCCAAAACUUUCCACACUUCGAUUGGUAUAUCGUCUGGGCCUACUGCUUUUCUAUGCUUCAUCUUCUUCAAAGCUACACCCACUUCUUCCUUCCGGAUUCUACGAUAAAAAGAGUAGUUUCUACACUCUUCUGAGUUAUCAACUCCCCUAAAGAAGCACUCCUUUCAUGUCCUUCAUUGAAAAGAUUAUGAAAAUAACCUUUCCAUCUGUCUUUAACCGCGUUCUCUGUAGCAAGAACCUUUCCAUCCUCAUCCUUGAUGCACCUCACUUGGUUUAGGUCCCUUGUCUUUUUUUUCCCUUGCUCUAGCUAGUUUAUAGAUAUCCAACUCUCCUUCUUUGGUAUCUAGUCGCUUAUACAUAUCGUCAUAAGCCGCUAACUUAGCUUCUCUCACAGCUUUCUUCGCCUCUUGCUUCGCUUUUCUAUACCUUUCACCAUUUUCAUCGGUCCUAUCCUUGUAUAAGGCUUUACAACAUUCCUUCUUAGCCUUCACCUUUGCUUGUACCUCCUCAUUCCACCACCAAGAUUCCUUUUGGUGUGGGGCAAAGCCCUUGGACUCUCCUAAUACCUCUUUUGCUACUUUUCGGAUACAACUAGCCAUGGAAUCCCACAUUUGGUUAGCUUCCCCCUCUCUAUCCCACACACACUGGGUGAUUACUUUCUCUUUGAAAAUGACUUGUUUUUCUUCUUUUAGAUUCCACCAUCUAGUCCUUGGGCACUUCCAAGUCUUGUUCUUUUUUCUCACUCUUUUGAUAUGUACAUCCAUCACCAACAAGCGAUGUUGAUUAGCCACGCUCUCUCCUGGUAUAACUUUGCAAUCCUUACAAGUUAUACGAUCCCCUUUCCUCAUUAGAAGAAAAUCUAUUUGUGUUUUUGACGACCCACUCUUGUAGGUGAUCACAUGUUCUUCUUCUCUCUUCUUAAAGAAGGUGUUGGCUAAGAAGAGAUCAUAUGCCAUUGCAAAAUCCAAGAUAGCUUCCCCAUCCUCGUUUCUCUCCCCAAAACCAUGGCCACCAUGAAAACCUCCAUAGUUGCCUGUCUCCCUGCCCACGUGUCCAUUUAAAUCUCCUCCUAUAAAUAACUUCUCCGUCUGAGCAAUUCCUUGCACCAAGUCUCCAAGGUCUUCCCAAAAUUUCUCCUUCGAACUCGUAUCCAACCCUACUUGAGGUGCGUACGCACUAAUCACAUUGAUAAGUUCUUGUCCUAUUACAAUCUUGAUUGCCAUGAUUCUAUCUCCUAUCCUCUUGACAUCUACAACAUCUUGUGUCAAGGUCUUGUCCACGAUGAUGCCAACACCGUUUCUCGUUCUAUUUGUGCCCGAAUACCAUAGUUUAAACCCUGAGUUUUCUAGAUCCUUUGCCUUACGACCAACCCACUUAGUUUCUUGUAGGCACAUAAUAUUUAUCCUUCUCCUCACCAUAACUUCUACUACUUCCAUAGAUUUUCCCGUCAAGGUUCCUAUAUUCCACGUUCCUAAACGCAUUUUGCUCUCUUGAACUCUACCCUUCUGUCCUAGCUUCUUCACCCUUCCCCGUCUAAUAGGAUCAAAGUACUUCUUUUGUAUGUCCCGUGUAAAGUUGAUAGGAGCAUAUGCUCCCAAACAACUUUGAGUGGAGUCGUUCGAAAAGAAGUUUCUAUAGCCCCCUUGCUCAUUUAACACUGCAUCCGGGUGCCGAUGGAGAUACAGCGACCCUUGCUCACUUAUCACUGUGCUCAGGCCACACAGCGCGCCACUUACGGGUGACGCCCUAGCUUUAGCGCGAUUUCGUUCUGGAUUCAUUUUCAUAAGGAUUCGACGUGAUCAUGGAGUGCCGGCUGUCGACUACCUGACGCCCUCCCCCUCCUCUUUUAUCCGGGCUUGGGACCGGCAAUGUAAGAUAAACUUACACGGCGGAGUUACUUACACGGCGGAGUUCACAGGAGCUACUUAAAAGGGUGAAAAAAAUCUUGCGCAUUAAGAUGAGUCGUUGCUAUAUAGAGUUCAAUAAAUCAGACAUGCUCGAGGACGAACAAAGUUCACGUGUAGUGAGUUUUACUGGCGCAAAAGUCGUGUUACCCUCAACUGAAGGGAGAAUUCAAAUCACAUGGCAAACAGUUUAACUAAUUUGGACAAAAUUUUGAAUAAUCUGACGAUGGAGGAGUAAUAGAUUAUUUAUAAAAGUUUAAUUAUAAGAUAAUUAACUAAAAUAAAAUUAAUAUUGUAGUACAAAUUCGAUUAGUUAAUCGGUAUGAGCUUUUUAUAUUUUCAAAAAAAAAAAUGCUGAAGAUACCACAUUCACAUCACUGUUUUCACAAGUUUGGAAGAGACCAAUCCUACCUUUAAUAAAUGGAAUGAUUAGUAAUGAAAGUUGAGGUUUGUUAUAAAAUUAAUUGAUAAUAUAAGAGUAUACUAAUUAUUUAUAAAUACAUACAAGGUUUAUUCUUUUUUUGAUAUGGGAUUCACUCUUAACAUGUUCUAUCACAUGUGGCGAUUUUCAAACCUAACACAUGAACAAUACAAACGAGGUGAAAUGAAGCAUGUGUUGCCGUGGUACUUUGCACGUGAGAUAAUUUGUGCUAUUACCACAAAAAAAAAAUUAAAAUUCCAUUAUAAAAUUAAUUGAUAACAUAAAGGACAAUUUACUUAUUCAUAAGAACAUGUAAAAUUCAUUCUUAUCCGAUAUUGCGAUUCACUCCCGUAUAUCAAUCAAACAAUUGUAUCACGGAUCGACUUUUGUGAUAAUAAGACAAAAUUUACAGUGCAUUCCUGACUUUACAUUUUUCAAAUAAUUUUGCACCCACGAAGAAAAAGCAAAGAACCAGUCAUCCUUUCACAAGACUCAUCACAUGCAGCCCCUGUGAGAAGCCGACACCACCUCUGACGUUUGUUGUGUCAGGAAGAAAUUUACUAAAAUAUGGUUGUAAUUUAAAGAUCCAGAGAAAAAUGAGACUAUUUUUUUUUUCUGAAAUAAUAAGAGUAUAAAGAACUCGAAGAAAAGGAGAAACUGAAAUAUAGCCUCUAGGUCAUCCAUCUGGCCAUGGAGGGGAAUAAUCAAGUGAGUAACGUGACCGCAGGGCCAAGCAGCAGCAACAACGAAGCAAGACUGGCUAUACUGGAGCUGGCCAACAUGAUUAGCGUCCCCAUGUCUCUAAACGCCGUUGUUCGACUUAACGUCCCCGACGCCAUCUGGCAGGGCGGUUGCAACACUCCUCUC